rnacentral:lncRNA from 1 species
GCGAUCGUGUUCGAGAAUAAAUAAAACAUCACGCAGUUGGAUGGCACAUGCGUAAGCUGAACACAGGACAGAAGCCCUCAGAAUCAGUUUAUAAUAAUAUACAGAAACCCAUUUCUAUUCCAAGCUUCAAAUAUAUAGCUCCACACAAUAAAGCAUCAUCCUGUACAGUGAGUCUAUGGCUGCAACAGCUAGCUAGUAAUAGUCACCGGCAAUUAGUAUAGUCAUAUAAGCACUGCUGCACGAGCUACAACUACAAGCGGUGGUGGGCGCAGGAGGCAGUGCCGUCGUCGAAGUUCUGGUAGUAGCUAUGCAGGUCAUACCCGAACCUCACCGCGGUUCGCCUCGGCCGCGCCGCGCGUCUUCUCCAAGAGCGCCUCAACCUCGACAGCAGUCGCUUCACCGCCGCAGCUGGCCGGCGGCCGCCGCUCCUGGCGUGGACGAGCCGCCCGCCCAAGCCGCUGCCCCCGGUGUACGGGCCUAGCAGAGACGCCGCCGCCAUGAUCGUUCACUCGGUCGGUUCUCACAAGUCACGGACGCUCUUUGCCGCUAACCAAUUAGCUAGCUAGACGCUGUCUGCUUCGAGCUGGAGUACGUACGUAUCUGUGAAUCUGUGUGCUGCAGCUGUAGCUUCUGAAGAUACUGUGCAAAACGAAGCCUCCCAUGCCGCAGCUUUAUAAGCUCGGAUGCUGGGAGCAUUCCGACACGCGUCGAUCGAAGACGCUACUCGGACCCACCAGCAGCACGCACUCACAUACAUGGUGACGAGGCAAUCCACUACGGCGAUCGUUCGAAACGUCCAGGCAGCUUCAUUUCAUGCAUGCUUUUGUAAGCCGCCGUGGUGCUCGUGCAGUCGAAAGAAUCAAAGAAAGACAACCGUCGACCACCAACAAUGGAAGCAUGUGCACUUGCUUUAGUGACGACCUCCAUCGCCAGCUAGACUGCUAGCUAGAAGGAUGAGAGAGGUCGGCCAUGGCAACUGGCGACACGGCGGCACCUGAGCUGCUUCCUGCCCGUCCUGUGCCACUGCCGAUAAGGUCGGCGGCUUCCUGCCUGCCCUUCCUGCCGCUGGAUCAUGCCACGUGCACAAUGUGUUUCAGUUGCCUGUGGCGUGGGCGUGGCCGACCUAAUCGACAUGCAUGCGGCCGAGGUUGGCGGGAACUCUCGGCACCCCGUCAGAUCGAGACUAGGAAUAGCUAGAGUGUAUUGCUGACGCUGAAUCAUAAUAAUAACAACUGGUUAUAUUAAUAACCUAGAGUAUUAUUGGAAAGAGCACUCCAAGCCACUCACCAAAUUGGAUAAUAUAAUAAUAAUAAUAACUGGUUAUUACUAUGUAUUUUUGGAUAGCCUUAUCCUUGUACCGAAGAUGACUAAAGCUUAGGACGUGGACAUUUCUUUUACAGCUGGAAUAUGCAAGUAUGCUCUUCGAUCUGAUAUCUCCAAAAAGGAAGAGAAAAGAUGUCGUCGAGCUGAGUUAUCAUCAAUGAAUUUCCACAUCCUAAGGAAAGGGAAAUGGAACACACUAGUAGUGUUACGCUAGAGUGAAAAUCUACAGAAAAGGCGGAGAGCCUUUUUUUAGGGAAUUGCGAAGCUUCUAUUUUGGAAAUAUCACAAAAAUGUAUGGUCAGCGAAUGGCGGUCGUGGAAUGGCAGUGUAUCACUACCGAAAUAUUGAUCUUUACCAAGUGCUCGGUAUUUUACCGAGUAUUUUUUCUCAGGCACUCGGCAAAUAAGUCUUUGUCGAGUGCCGUAUACGACAAAGUUCUGCUCUCGGUAACGACCACGUUUACCGAGAGCAGUAGUCUCGACACACGAAAACACUUGACGAGGUCGACGCUUGGUAAAGGGCCAUCGUCAGCCAUCUACAGCUGACGACCGUUAUCUUUGCCGAGUGCCGACACUCGACAGGCCAUUCUGUGCCGAGUGUCGUAAGAUGGCACUCGACAAAGUAUAUUUUUCUUUUUUUUCUUUUUUCAACAAACCUUUUGUGGUAUGUUCCUACACUAUGUAGACUUACAUGUUCCAUUUUGGCAUAAUUAUAAAAGUGUUUGCUGGAACUAUUAGAUUUUGUUCUUUUAAUUGAAUUUACUCGGAUAAUUCAGAUUUGAACUACAAGUCACUCGAAAAAUAGAAAACCGUGAAUGCAAAAAAUGAUAUCCAUGUUAGAUAACACAAUUUACGACUGAUUUCAGGAGCAGACUGGAAUUUUCGAGCACUAUCCUCACUAAACAUGACCGUGAACUUGCCAUCAAGUUAUUUAAAAAUUAUAUAAAACACAAACAAAGUCAGAAAAUCAUGAAACUUGUCCACAUGUCAUGAUAUCAUAUGUAGAGGCUGUGAUAAAAAUUUGAGAAUGUUUCAAGAAAGUUGUGACGUACUAUAUGUAGAAACCUAGCCGGUCUACAUUAAAACUCUAUGAUUUUAUGUGUAGGCCACUUAGGUUUCUACACAUAGUGCGUCACAACUUUCUCGAAAUAUUCUCAAUUUUUUAUCACUGCCUCUACAUAUGAUAUCAUGACAUGUGGACAAGUUUCAUGAUUUUCUGACUUUGUUUGUGUUUUAUACAAUUCUUAAACAACUUGAUGGCAAGUUCACGGUCUUGUUUAGUGAGGAUGGUGCACGAAAAUUCCAGUCUGCUCCUAAAAUCAGUCGUAACUUGUAUUAUCUAACAUGGAUAUCAUUUUUGCAUUCACGGUUUCCAUUUUUCGAGUGACUUGCAAUCCAAAUCUAAAUUAUCCGAGUAAAUUCAAUUAAAAGAACAAAAUCUAAUAGUUAUAGCAAACACUUUUAUAAUUGUGCCAAAAUUGAACAUGUAAGCCUACAUAGUGUAGGAACAUACCACAAAAGGUUUGGUUGGCAAAAGAAAAAAAUGAAAAUAUACUUUACAAAGUGCCCAAGAUAGGCACUCGGCAAAGUAUUAUUUGUCGAGUGCCCAUCUUGAGCACUCGGCAAAGUAUAUACUUUGUCGAGUGUCAGGCGACCGGCACUCGGUGAAGUGAUCUCUUUGCCGAGUGCCAACGCCCGACACUCGGCAAAGUGCAUUUUUAGAUUAAAAAAAACCUUUGUUGAGUGUCAGAUCGCUUACGCUCGGCAAAGUGUAUUUUUAAAUUAAAAAAAUCUUUGCCGAGUGCCAGAUCGCGGGCACUCAGCAAAGAACAUAUACUAAGCCAGAGUCUGGGCCCAUGACUCCAUUAUUUGUUGUCGCGCCACCGUUAGCCCCGCCGCGCCGCUCGUCGUGCCUCUCGCUCCACCGCCCGCGCUCGCCCCGUUGCCCGCGCUAGUGCCGUUCGCCGCACCGCCCGCUCGAGGUCACCCGCGCGCCGCCGCCUCUGCCCGACCGCACCUGCUUCGUCCAUCCCCGCGUGCUGGUUGGUUAUGGCCAUCCCCGUCUAUCAGACCCCCGCUUCGGUUAACACACCGCCACCAGCAAAGGUAAAGACUUUACGCAACCGCUAAGUGUCGAUUCAUUAAUCAUUUCAAUUAUGCUUACAAUGUAGUUAUGAUUGCCUAAGUGUCGAUUCAUAAGCCACACUAGUUGUAGUUAUGAUUGGCUAAGUGUCGAGGCCUUGAUGUCUAUGUGUGUAUCAGCCAUCGUGCUGGUACUUUUGUUUGCAGGUUUUUGGAAAGCUCCCCGUGUGGGGAGGUGCUGCCAUUUUUUUAACGGACUUGUGUUAAUCUUUAGAGUAUAAUCGGUUAUAUAUGUUAGAGUAUGGAGGACCGUGAGUGGAUGUACACGGGUCAUGUAGGAAGGAAUGAUGUCACCCUCGAAUGGAUUAGAAAGACCGAUGCUUUCGUGGAACAGGCAUUUGACGAAGCUGCUAAAGGAGCAAGUCUAGUCCCAUGCUUGUGCAGCAAAUGUGCCAACCGGAAAAGAAAAUCAAAGAAGGCCAUGGUAGAACAUAUUUGGAAGAAUGGAUUUACACCGGACUAUACUCGAUGGAUCUUCCAUGGUGAAGCGCACGUACGAGAGAGGAGGUGGUGAGACAAUGCGUCGAGGAUUAUGAUGCUGAUGCGGGGUAGCAGAUAUGUUGAACGACUAUCACGAGGCAUAAUUCGUCGGAGGAUGUAUGGAGGACGAGCUAGAGCCGACCGCAAAGGCGUUGUACGACAUGUUUGACGCGGCACAGAAGCCCCUUCACGUCAAGACAAAGGUUUCUCAACUGGAUGCCAUUGGGCGUGUAAUAGUGUUCAAGUCGUAGUACAACAUGAGUCGAGACGCAUUCGAUGGCUUGUUGACAGUUAUUGGCAGCCUGCGAGGAUCACGUUCUGCCAAAGAGCAUGUACGAGGCACAAAAACUCCUUCGUGCACUCAAGAUGAUGUAUGAGCAGAUAUAUGCUUGUCUGAAGGGCUGCGUGCUAUUUAGGAAAGAAUAUGCGGAGGCAAAGUACUGUUCGAAGUGUAAAUCGUAUAGGUUCAUGGAGGUAGACUCUGGUGAUGGAUAGAAGAGGUAGCUCGACAUCCCGGUGACAAUCCUACGCUGCCUUCUGUUCAUACCGAGGAUCCAGCGUCUAUACAUGAUUGAGGAAUCCACGAAACAGAUGACAUGGCACAAAAAUGGCAAAUUAUGCAAUCCUGACAAGAUGGUGACGUAUCCGAUGGUGAAGCAUGGAAACACUUUGAUGCCAUUCACCAUGAGAAAGCCAAAAAGGCUCGUAAUUUAUGUGUUGCGCUGGCCACAUAUGGGUUCAAUCCCUAUGGAAUGAGCGCUGCACCGUACACAUGUUGGCCCGUGUUUGCUAUCCCAAUCAAUGUUCCCCCCGGUGUAUGCUUUCAAAGGCAGAAUAUAUUUAUGUCGUUGAUAAUUCCCGGACACCCGGGGAAUAAAAUGGGCAUGUACAUGGAGCCUUUGAUUGAUGAAUUGGUACGUGCUUGGGAGGAAGGGGUAUGGACGUAUGACCGAGCUACGAAGACAAACUUCAAAAUGCAUGUUUGGUACCAGUACUCCAUGCAUGACUUACCGGCGUAUGGGCUAUUCUGCGCCUGGUGUGUUCACGGUAAUUUCCCAUGCAUGCCCAGUUUGCAAGGAAGCUCUUAGGGUCGUUUGGUUGAAGAAGGGUGGCAAAUAUUCGUCGUUCGAUAGACAUCGACAAUUUAUCUCUCCUAAUCAUCCAUUCUGCCUAGACAUCAAGAACUUUACGAAAGGUGUCGUAGUGAUAGAUCGCCCACCUGCAACGAUGACUGGUGCCAAAAUUUGUCAAGGGAUAGAUGGGCUCGUGGCCAAUCUAGAAGGUGGUUUUGUGGGAUAUGGUGAGCAGCAUAUGUGGACGCAUAAGUCGGGCUUGACUCGGCUCCCCUAUUAUGACGACCUGCUCCUUCCACACAACAUUGACGUGAUGCACACUGAAAAGAAUGUUGCCGAGGCACUUUGGGCAACAAUUAUGGACAUUCCUGAUAAGUCAAAGGAUAACGUAAAGGCAAUAGUGGAUCUGGCAGUGUUAUGUGAUAGACCAAACCAAGAGAUGAAGCCGCCUAGUGGUGGAAAGACAUGGAGAAGGACUAAGGCCGAUUUCGUCCUAAGCAGGGCCCAGAGGAAGGAAGUACUUCAGUAGAUCAAGAUGUUGAUCUUCCCUGAUGGGUAUGCAGCUAACCUGAGUAGGGGGUGAACUUAUCUACUCUACGAGUCUUAGGGAUAAAGAGUCAUGACUUCCACAUAUGGAUUGAACGGAUUCUUCCUACGAUGGUUCGAGGCUAUGUCCCUGAGCAUGUCUGGCUAGCACUUACAGAGUUGAGCUAUUUCUUCUGCCAGCUUUGUGCAAAAGAGUUAUCUCGGACCGUGAUUGCAGAGUUGGAAAGAUUGACACCCGUGUUACUGUGUACGCUUGAGAAGAUAUUUUCACCCGGCUUCUUCAAUCCAAUGCAGCCUAUCCUCAAUAGCUUCAAUGUACAUUUGCAGCAGUGAACCGAAAUCUAUCUCAUUUAACCUUUGUUUUAACCUAUCUGGCAUCAUAAAUGCUGCAUUGUUCAAAGCAGCAGGAAAAUAUCGCAUUAUAAUGUAGAACCCGUGCAUCUCCUUAUCCUCCUUCAAAUCUUCGUGUCACUUAAUUGGAGUUUGGUCUUUGGAAGCUUCACUGGUCGUCUGUCGUUUAGACGAUUUCUCCCUCAUAGGCCUCUAAACAUGGGGUGUUGGGGACCCUACAUCUGAAUCAUUUGCGCUUAAAACAUAAACUAUGGGCAUUUUUUCAACCUCCGGUUGAGCCACACCUAGGGCAUCAUAUUCGGGAUUUUCUUCACCAUUGCGUGGAGUAUCUGAAUAUGUGUGCUUAGUAGGUGUAGACAUUGUCUACGACCGUGUAACAUAAAAAUAAUUCAGAUAAAAAAUAUCUAUAACAUAUAUUACUUACUGCUCAAUGUUGUUACUGAAUACUAUACAUAUUACUUAUGCUUGUAGGUUUAAAUUGUUACUAAUUGUCCAAAAUAUUACUAUACAUUCGAUUGGGAUUGAUAAUUAUAACUAAUUCUAUUCAUUUAUUAACGAGUAAUGUAUUACUGGCUCUAGAUGCACAUACUAUAUCUAACACAAAAUCUUAUUACUAUUAUGAAAACACAUAUUCUAGAUGACAAAAAAUUUCCUUACCGUUUAGAAUACAUAAUACUGAAAAUUAUUACCGAUUAGAAUACAUAUUACUAAUACUAAUUUCUUAAUUACUACUCACUAAGUAAUAACAACAUAAUGCUUAUCUAAAAAUUAUUGCUAAUCCUAUGCGGUAGUUACUGACAAUAUGUAUUUAUUACUGGUAUUAAAGCAGUAAUGUACUGAUUAUAAGAUAAAACCAACACAGAACUGUCAUUGAAAAUAUAUUAUAAUGUUACUGAUGCUAACAUAUAAACAAAAAGCAGCGUAUCUCAACUCAUCCAGGUUUUCAAAAAAAGGAGUGAUGCAGAGUAGGAUUCACUUGAAAAACAUGUGUGCAUGAUGCAACACUAACUUGAGCAUAAAUGUGCUAGAGAAAACUGCAGGAAAAAUUGAAGUAAAACCCGUCCAAGGAGCGAAUUGCAGAAACCCCUCCGUUGCGGCUGCUAAUCUUCACAAAUCUGGAACCACGUCGCCCCAGAUUUUCGCUCGUUUUGACCAAAUAUGGUACCCUAGCAAAAAAACAUGAUGAAUCUCCCCUACGCCACGACGAUUCUGACCGACGAUUGCGAGCACUUGGAAGGCAAUUUCAAAAACAAGGGAACCCAUGGAAAAAGUGACGGUGGAAAGAUAGUAGAUGUUUCGAUGGGUCCUUGCGGUCGUAUAUGUUUAGCUCGGUGUGGUCGGACUCGGUCGGUGCGGUGGGACACGGUCGGACGAGGUCGGUGUGGUCAAGUGAUGCUUCACUUGAGGUGAUGUAUAUAUAUAUAUAUACAUAUAUAUAGUUUGUAUAUUUAGAGCUCUGACCUUCCAAUAACUAGAGGAAACACUGGUCUAAACGGUGCCAUCCGGUUCAGCCGCACCAGGUUCAGACGGCUACAAAAAAGACCCCCAGACCGCCAGGGAUUAGGUUUUAGCGGGGGUGGCAGUUCCCUCGGGUGAGUGAGCGACGGUGGCGAUUUCCUCGGGUGUGCGAGCGGCGGCGAUCCCGGGGGCUUGCGACGGUGGCGCGCCGAGGCGGGCGACUGGCGGCAACACUCCUAAGGCGGGCGGGCAAGCACCUACGGCGCUCCUGAAACGGACAAGCGGCGGCGGCGCACCCUAGGCCCGGUGGUGACUGCGGUUGCGUGAGGCGCGAUAGGCUUCAAUAGCAGCGGCGGCGGAUCUUGGAGGAGCGCACGCGGCGGUCGAGGCCAGGGGCGCCCACACGAUGUCGGCUCCUCGAAGGCGCGCGCCCCUGAGUGGCGCCCGCUGGCGUCCCCCCUCCCGCGAUGACGCCGGCCUUCCCUAGGCGCGAGCGACGACGACAGACUUCCCUAGGCGACGAGCGGUGGCGAAUCGAUGUCCUUGUUUUUAUGCUAUUAUAUAUAUAUAUAUAUUUAUGCCAACGUCAAUAGAUUUUUAUGAUACAUUUUCAGUUCAUGGCUCUCAUUUCAUCUUUUGUAUGUUUAUGAUAUUUCUAUUCACAUUUUAUGUAAACGUUUGUUGAUUUUUGCAUAGUGUACUAUAAUGUAUAAAUACCUUCGUCAUGCAGUUAAUUAGUAUCAGUAUAAAUCAUAAAUUGGUUACAACGAGCCUAACUGUAUGGCUGUUGGAGAGAUCAUAUAUUUAUGGACGAAAUAAAACAUUGAAAAUCAGAUUUUUGUUUUCAUGCGUGCUAAUCCAUUUUCUUUCGACUCACAUUUUUGUCAUCCUAAAUUUGUACACAUGCAAUAGUAAACAUAUUUUGUAUACAGUGUACCGCAUUGCAUAAAUACCUUCGACGUGUAACAUAAUUAGUCUCAGCGUAUAUCAUAAACUGGUUCUAAUGAGCAUAGAUGCAUGGCUGUUGGAGAGAUCCUAUAUUUAUGGAGAAAAUUAAUCAUUUAAAUCAGAUUUUUUUCCAUGCAUGUCAAUCUAUUUUCUUUUAACGCACAUUCUUGUCAUCCUAAAUUUGUGCGCAUGCAGCAGGAAACAUAUUUUUUCGCGCUGUACAGCAGUGCAUAAAUAUCUAUACCGUGUAGCAUAAUUAGUGUCAGUAUAUGUUAUAAAUGAUUCCAACGAUCCUACCUGCAUGACUGUUGUCAAGAUCCUACUUUUAUGGACGAAAUAAAGUAUUUAAAUCAGAUUUUUUUCAUGCAUGACAAUUUAUUUCCUUUCAACCCACAUUCUUAAUAUCCUAAAUUUGUGCGCAUGCAGAAGGAAACAAAUUUUUUGCGCGGUGUACCACACUUCAUAAAUAUCUACACAGUGUAGCAUAAUUAGUAUCAGUAUAUGUCAUAAACUAGUUCCAACGAGCCUAACUGCAUUAUAUUGCUGUUGUAGAGAUCCUAUUUUUAUGGACAAAAUAAACAUUAAAAUCGGUUUUUUUGUUUUCAUGCAUGCCAAUCUAUUUUCCCUCUAAACACACAUUAUUGACAUCCUAAAUUUGCGCCCAUGCAGCAGGAAAGUGAUUUUUUACGCAGCGUACAUUAUUGCAUAAAUGCCUACACGGUGUAGCAUAGUUAGUAGCAGUAUAUUUCAUAAAAUGUUUCUAAUGAGUCUAGCUGCAUAGCUGUUAUAGAGAUCCUAUAUUUAUGAAAGGAAUAAAUCAUUCAAAUUAGAUUUUUUGUUUCCAUGCAUACAACAGUUAACACAUAGACUUCCUAAUUAUUCACGCUUGUAAAUGUAAACAAACUGCCCGCAUGUAAGGAAUGAAUGCAUACGAGAAGUGGGUGGUGGCCAGGAUGCGGUGGUGCUUGGCUGGCUAGGGCUUCAUGUGUGCUAGGGCUUAGAUUUUAAACUUAGCAAUUUUUCAUAUAUAUAUAUAUAUAUAUAUAUAUAUAUAUAUAUAUAUAUAUAUAUAUAUGAAAAAUAGCUAAGUUUAAAAAGCGAUAGUGGCAAAAUAUUUUCACUAGCGUUUGUUAUAAGAGAACCAACUGUAGAAAUUUAUUUCACUAGUACAAAUAAGCUCAAAGCCUGCGGCACGUUCAACUUUUCACUGGCGGUUUCCGUUAUCAAACGUCAGUGAAAGAAACAGGUGGGCCCGGCUUUAAAAACCGCCAGUGGAAACCUAUUUCCACUGGCGGUUAUCUUAACACAACCGCCAGUGGAAAUAGGAUGUUUCCACUGGCGGUUGUGUUACACAAACCGCCAGUGAAAAUUGAUUUCCACUGGCGGUUAUCUUAAGAUAACCGCCAGUGGAAACAUCCUAUUUCCACUGGCGGUUUUUAAAGACAACCGCCAGUGGAAAUCAAUUUUCACUGGCGGUUUUUAAAGACAACCGCCAGUGAAGUGUCUGUUAUAAAUGCCCCUCUUCCCCCGACAGUGAACUGUAUGCUCGCAGCCAACUUCCAUUGGAGGCGAUUUUGGAGGUCCAGAAUUCACAAAAUACAUGGGGAGAGGUUUUGAUCUUCAUUUUUUGGAAGAAGAUUGCUAAGAAAGGUUGGUUUAUGUUGCUAAUGUCAAUUUUUAUUCAUUUUUGCUCAAUUUUAGCCACAUUUUGGAUCUAGGGUUUCACCAUUGGAGAGAGAGUGUAUCCUCUCUCAAUUUUAGCCACAUUUUAGCCACAUUUUUGCUCUAUUCGCUCAAAUAAAGUUGUUUAAUAUGGUUAGAUUUUGUCUAUCCUCUCUCCUUUUUCAUGUUUAGUUCUCAAAUCAGUUUAUCCAUGACAUAUUAAGUUGUUUAAUGAAUGGUUCAUGUGUUGUGUGGAGAGAGAAGAAGAUAGGUUUGAUAAUUAAGAUUGUUUUUAUUAGUUGCUAUGAAAGUUGGUUUAAUUAUGUUUUAAUUGCCAAUUAUUGUUUAUCUUUGCUCAAUUUUGGAACUAGGCCUUCACCAUGUGUUAAAGAGAAGAGUAUGGCUAGGAAAGUUUAGUUUUAUGUUCCUCUUGCCAAUUUUUGUUCAUUUUCCUUAAAUUUAGCCACAUUUUGGAUAUAGGGUUUCACCCCUUCAUCCUUCCCAACAGGUGGUGAUGGAGAGGACAUCCUGGAUGUAUAACUUAUCAAGGCUAGAUCCAUCAUACAUAUCCGAGGUCCAUAAGUUUAUUGAUGUCGCUACGAACCAUGCUUGGAGAACAAAGACAAAACACAUAUAUUGUCCAUGCAUGGACUGCAAAAAUGCUGCUGUAUUUAAUGACACAGAACAAAUCAUAUCUCAUCUGGUAUGCCGAGGAUUUAUGAAGGAUUACACAAUUUGGACAAAACAUGGAGAGGGUACCAGCUCUUCGCCUUAUACGACUGGAAACCCUGAGAACAUCGACGACAGAUUUCAGUUCGUUCACGAGACACACCAACCUCUUCCACAGAGCGAACAUGUAGUGCAAAAUGUUACUGAUCAUGGUUACGCUCGAGGAAAUGAACAUGAUAGACCUCAUGUUCUGCCAAGUGUUAUGGAUGAGGAAGAUGCAGAGUUGCUAGAGGCAAUGUUGCGUCGUCAUACAGAUCAAUCGAUGUUCUUAAUGAAAGGUAUGGAGUCCCUGAAGAAGGCAGCAGAAGAGCCUUUGUACGACGAGUCUAAGGGUUGUACCAAAGAGUUCACGACGCUCCGGUCUGUGCUAAAGCUGUUGAUGUUAAAAGCUAAAUAUGGUGUGUCUGAUGCUGGCUUCGAUGCGUUCUUGAGUAUUAUCGCAGACAUGCUUCCAAAGGAGAACAAUGUGCCUGCUAACACGUACUAUGCAAAGAAACUAAUCAGUCCGCUCACUAUGGGUGUGGAGAAGAUCCACGCGUGUAGAAAUCACUGUAUCCUUUAUCGAGGUGAUGAUUAUAAAGACUUGGAGAGCUGCCCAAAGUGCGGUGCAAGUAGGUACAAGACGAAUAAAGACUAUCGAGAGGACGAAGAGUGUGUUGCAUCCGUGUCUAAAGGGAAGAAGCGAAAGAAAGCCCAAAAAAAGACUUCAAAAUCCACGAGCAAAGAAAAAGAAGUAGACUAUUAUGCGCUCAAAAAGAUUCCUGCUUUGGUGAUGUGGUACCUCCCCGUCGUCGAUCGAUUGAGGUGUUUGUUCGCUAAUCCUGAGGAUGCCAGACUUAUGAGCUGGCAUGCUUCUGAUGAGCACAAAAACGAUGGGAAGCUUCGACAUCCAGCCGAUGGGAAGCAGUGGCAAGAUUUCAAUGACAACCACCGAGACUUUGCCGAUGAACCGAGAAAUGUUAGGUUCGCACUGAGUACUGAUGGAAUGAACCCAUUUGCUGAGAGGAGCAGCAAGCAUAGCACAUGGCCGGUGAUCCUCACCAUAUACAACCUUCCUCCAUGGUUGAUGCAGAAACGGAAGUACAUUUUGCUAACCAUCCUUAUUUCUGGACCUACACAACCUGGAGUUGACAUGGAUGUAUUUUUGGAGCCCUUAAUGGAGGAUAUGAAAAUAUUGUGGGAAACAGGUGUUCAAAUGUUGGAUGAGUAUCGUAAAGGUUCAUUCACGCUGAGAGCAAUUCUUUUUGUUACGAUCAACGAUUACCCUGCUCUCUUCACAUUAUCAGGCCAGUUUAAGGGAAAGGUUGGUUGCACAGUAUGCAUUGAUGGAACUGCUUACGUAUCCCUUGCUGCAUCUAGGAAGAUAGUUUACAUGAGGCACAGACGCUUUUUAUUGGAAGGACACAGGUACCGCAUGCGAAAGAUGGAUAAGUACUUCGACAAUAAUGGUGAACUACAUUCUACUGCUCCAUCGGGUAACAAUAGAGGUCAUAGAGUUUUUGAAAUAGUCAGGAAUAUCAAGUUUGUUUUCGGGAAGAAGACAAAAGACGGAAAAACAAGGAAGGAUGUCAAACCAGCUUCGGGGGCUAUAUUCAAGAAGAAGUCUAUUUUCUUCGAGUACUUGCCUUACUGGAAAGAGUUAGAUGUGCGGCAUGCGAUCGAUGGUAUGCACGUUCAGAAGAACGUGUUUGAAAGCAUAAUGGGCACCUUGCUAGACAUAAAGGGCAAAACAAAAGAAGGGCUCAAUUCACGCAUGGACUUGGUAGAUUUAGGCAUAAAAAAGGAACUACAUCCCGUUCUUCAAGAAAAUGGGAAGUACCAUCUCCCAGCAGCAAGCUACAAUCUCAAUGUAGAUGAGAAACAUGCGAUGUGUGUUUGGCUUAAGAAUUUGAAAGUCCCAUCCGGAUUCUGCUCUAGCAUACGGAGUAUUGUGUCAAUGAAAGACCUGACAAUCACCAACUACAACUCACAUGAUUGCCAUGUCAUGCUGACUACAUUUCUACCUAUUGCCAUCAGGGCUAUAAAUCCUUUGUUUUUAAAGAUGGCAAUCACACGGUUGUGCUACUUUUUCAACAGGAUUUCACAAAAGGUAAUUGGCCGUGAUGAGUUGGCAUCUCUUCAGGAAUUCGCAGUGGAGACAAUAUCACAGUUUGAGAUGUGUUUCCCUCCAUCGUUCUUUGAUAUUAUGGUGCACCUUGUGGUGCACUUGGUGCCACAAAUAGAGGCAUUGGGUCCUAUGUACUUGCAUGAAAUGUGGACGUAUGAGCGUUUCAUGUCAAUACUGAAUGGCUAUGUAUCAACCCGUGCUCGUCCCGAGGCAUCCAUGAUAGAGGGGUACUGUACCGAAGAGGCCAUUGAGUCCGGAGGUCCAUUCUGCAAUAGUAUCCUAAAAGACCAGGUUGCAAUAGGUCUGCCUCCGUCACGACACGAGGGUAGACUGUAUGGAAGCGGGAGGAUGGGACGGAAAUCUUUCAUCCCACCGGAUUACGAUAUAGUACUUGAGGCACAUCAGAGCAUCCUACAUCAGCUAACGAUAAUGGAGCCAUUUAUCCAACAACACAUCAAUGAGCUUCGCGAGCAAAAUCCUGGGCAUACGGAUGAUUGGGUAAUGAAGCAACAUAAGCAGCGAUUCAACACAUGGCUAAUGGUGAAGGACAUUCCACGUGGAGAAACAAUAGAAGAACAAACCAUCAAGGGCUUGGCAUCUGGACCAUCACGCCAGGUCACAACAUGGCAAACCUAUGACAUUAGUGGAUUCACAUUUUGUACCAAGUCCAAGGACAAAAAGAGCAUGUCACAAAACAGUGGUGUUCGAUGCGAGGCCAUAGAUGAUGAAACUGGUGAGAUUAUAACAUAUUUUGGCUUUAUUGAGGACAUAUGGGAACUAGACUAUGGUACAUUUCAGAUCUCGGUUUUCCGAUGUCAAUGGGUUGAAGACAAACAUGUCACGGUAGACAACUAUGGGGUCAGAGUUCUUGAUCUAAGUAAGGUAGGUUACAAAGAUGACCCAUGGAUCCUUGCUAAUCGUGCUGCACAGGUCUUCUAUGCUGAACAGAUCAUUUCUAACAAUGAGAAGAAAAGCACCGACAAACCGAAGCAUGUAGUUUUUCCUGGAAAACAACAAGCUAUAGGAGUUGAUGGUGUAUCUGAUUUAGAGAAUUUUAACCAGUUCAACGACAUGUCUCUUUUCAUAGACCAUCCAACCAAGAUAAGGAACGUUGAGCGAAGCAUCCCACGCAAUUCGUUGCCCUGGGUACGCCACGAUGGACAAGGCAGAACAAUAGCUUCCUAGAUUAUAUACUUGUCAUGUAAUUGAUUAUUGUUAGGAACUUGUCAUGUAAUUGAUUAUUGUUAGCGACAAACCGAAGCAUGUAAUUGUCUUCAUUCAAUUUUCGUGGCUACCAUUUACAAUUUUACAUGACUUUCUAUUGACUUUAUAGAGAGAGAGGAGAGGGAGAGAGAGAGGAGAGAGAGGAGAGGGAGAGGAGAGAGAGGAUGGAGAGAGAGGAGAGAGAUAGGAUGGAGAGAGAGGAGAGAGAGAGGGGAUGGAGAGAGAGGAUGGAGAGGGAGAGGGGAGAGAGAGUGGAGAGGAGAGAGAGGAUGGAAAGAGAGGAGAGGAUGGAAAAAGUAAAACAAUAUAUAAAAGUAUACUUAAUAUAAUAUAUAAAAAGUGAAGUAAAACAAUAUAUAAAAAACUAUGUUAAAUAAUAAUAAAAAACAAUUUCUACUGGCGGCUGUCAUAGAGAACCGCCAGUAGAAAUGGUUUCCACAGACUGUAGAAUCCAUUUCUACUGGCGGUUCUCUAUGACAACCGCCAGUAGAAAUGGUUUCUACUGGCGGUUCUCGUUGUCAACCGCCAGUAGAAAUGGCUUCUACAGUCUGUGGAAACCAUUUCUACUGGCGGUUCUCGUUAUCAACCGCCAGUAGAAAUGGCGCCUAUAUAAAGGUGGCGCGCGGGAGCCGAAAAUUUUACAAGUCCCUGGCGCCCUUUCACUUGAAGACGACGCCGUCAGGCUGCUGGAUUUCGACCCCGACGGUUUUCGCCGGCGAUCGUCCCCGCGCCCGUCCCCACGCCGCCAUUCCCGCCCCCGCACCGCCGUCUGCAGGUUUUUUCUCUUUCCCCUAAUCUGUACCGCCGCCGUCUACUACCGCGCCGGGCCGCCGCCGCCGCCGCCGCGUUUUAGUAAAACCUAGGGCACGCGCCGCCGCCGAGAGGGAGGAAGAGAGAUGAAGGAGAGGGAGAGGGAAGAGAGAGGAGGGAGAGGGAGAGGGAGGAGAGAGGAGGGCGCACGCGCCGCCCGCCGCCGAGAGGGAGGAAGAGAGAGGAAGAGAGAGGGAGAGAGAUAGAGGGAGGGAGAGGAGGGUGAGAGAGAGAGAGAGGAAUUUUAUACAUUGUAAUUUUAUGUGUUCAAAUGUAUGUUGAAUUCAUAUGUGUUCAAAUGUAUGUUGAAUUCAUAUGUGUUCAAAUGUAUGUUGAAAUGUAUGUUGAAAUGUAUGGUGAGAGAGAUAGAGGGAGGGAGAGGAGGGUGAGAGAGGGAGAGGAGGGUGAGAGAGAGAGAGGAAUUUUAUACAUUGUAAUUUUAUGUGUUCAAAUGUAUGUUGAAUUCAUAUGUGUUCAAAUGUAUGUUGAAAUGUAUGUUGAAAUGUAUGGUGAGAGAGAUAGAGGGAGGGAGAGGAGGGUGAGAGAGGGAGAGGAGGGUGAGAGAGAGAGAGGAAUUUUAUACAUUGUAAUUUUAUGUGUUCAAAUGUAUGUUGAAUUCAUAUGUGUUCAAAUGUAUGUUGAAUAUAUACAUUGUAAUUUUAUCCGUCACAACUCGAUAAUAUACGUAUCCGAUCCGAAUUCGAUCUGAACUCGAUAAUUUCCGUACGACUCUCCCUCUCUCCCUCUCUAUACGUCCUAUGCGACUCUCCCUCUCUCCCUCUCCUCGUCCUAUACGACUCUCCCUCUCUCUAUACGUCCUAUGCGACUCUCUCCCCGUCCUACACGAUACUAUACGACUAUACGAUACUAUAUGGUUAGGGUUUAGGGUUAUGGUUAGGGUUAAGGUUAGGGUUAAGGGUUAUAGUUAGGGUUAGGGUUAGGGUUAGGGUUAGGGUUAGGGUUAGGGUUUUGGGUCAGGGUUAGAGUUAGGGUUAGGGUUAGGGUUAGGGUUUUGGGUCAGGGUUAGAGUUAGGGUUAGGGUUAAGGGUUCGGGUUUUGGGUUAGGGUUAGGGUUUUGGGUUAGGGUUAGGGUUAAGGGUUUAGGGUUAGGGUUAGGGUUAGGGUUAGGGUCAGGGUUAGAGUUAGGGUUAGGGUUAGGGUUAGGGUUAAGGGUUCGGGUUUUGGGUUAAGGUUUCGGGUUUUGGGUUAGGGUUAGGGUUAAGGGUUUAGGGUUAGGGUUAGGGUUAGGGUUAGGGUUAAGGGUUCGGGUUAGGGUUAAGGGUUCGGGUUUUGGGUUAAGGGUUCGGGUUUUGGGUUAGGGUUAGGGUUAGGGUUAGGGUUUUGGGUUAGGGUUAGGGUUAGGGUUAGGGUUAGGGUUUUGGGUUAGGGUUAGGGUUAGGGUUAAGGGUUUAGUGCCCGCGAGGAUGUAUUUAAUUAUACUAUUUGUUAAUAUGAAUUUAAUUAUUGCUUACGUUAAUAUGUGUUAAUAUGUAUUUAAUUAUUGCUUAUGUAUUUGUAUAUAUAUAGCUCAAUGAGUUCUCCGAUCAAGGACCAAGGAUUAGUGCCCGAGCACAUGGACAAGAGUGUUGCUCAAGAACAAUCCAGCAGUGAAGGAUAUGAAACGCCUAGCGACCCUUUUCCUACCACUAGCAUAGAUAGGGCCGCUCUCCGUGAGUUGCAACGUGACCCUACUUAUGAUCCACGAGAAGCUGAGGUAAAAGUACGCAUCUUUAGCUUCGUAUGUGUACCCUACUGAUUUCACAUGCAUGAUCUCUUGUGCAUUUUAUUACAUGAAUAGGAGGUCGUGUCUGAAUUUCGUGCGAUACUCGAAGAAGCCGUGGCACGAUACGAAGACGUACCGGAGCCGACCCAAGACGCACCGGAACAGACCAAGACAACAACCGAGACAUCAAGGAAAAGGAAGCAGAGCGAUCGAAAAAGAGGUGACAGGGGGCUGAACAAAUUUCCCGACAAAACAUACAAAAUCUCAGACGUGAGCCCGAAAGGUCAGCCCCUAGCUCCAGAAGAGGCACUACCUAAGUUUCGGAAUGCACUUGGGUUUUUAGUUAGAGAUAAUCUUGACAUAACAAUACGACAGUGGAGAGAUGUGUCAGAUGAUGUCAAGAAUCAAAUAUGGAAUAAGCUAUUAAUGAGGUUCGUUCUGCCUCGGGGUUCAGAAGAACUCGUGAAGGAAUACACGAUGAAGCAGCUUGCAAUAAAUUUCCGAAACUGGAGGUCUGAGAUGAACACAAAGUUUGCAAAGAAAGGUCUGGACCCGACCAAAAAAUAUAAAAUCUCAGCAGGUCAGUGGGCAGUAUUUCUAGAGCAGAGGAGCAGCCCUGAUUUCAUAUCUCUAAGUGAGGCAAAUUCAGAACUAUCAAAGAAGAACAAGUACCGCCACCACCUAGGCACAGGUGGUUACAAGCGUCAGGUUCCUAAAUGGACACAAGAAGACGCCGAGAAGAAGGCUGCAGGGUUGCCGACGCUGUCCGAGCAACUUGGUGAAAGGGCGGCAAAUUGGCUCCGUGCUAGAAAACCAAGGGAAACCGAGACCGGUGUAUCUUUUGAUGAUCCCAUUGUCGAAGAAGCGGCAAAAAACAUAUAUACAAUGGCAGCUAAGCAGAGCGAAGGAACUUUUAAGCCACAAAGGGAAAGAGACAUCCUAACGGCUGGUCUCGGUAACCCUGAGCAUCCUGGUCGUGUACGAGGAAUCUCGUCUAAGGAAGGAUGGAAGGAAGGAUUCGGACCACAGUGGGAAGGUCUGUACAAGAAACGUGAUCGAUACAAGGAAGAGAUCGUGGAUUAUUUUAAGGAGGAGGCCAAGAAAGAGUUCAAAGCCAUGAUGUCUCAAAUGCUAUCGAAUCCUCCUCCAGAAUUGAUGCAACAGUUGGCGAGUGCGAUGUCUGUUCAACAGAUGACCACUCCACAGAUACAAAUAAUUCCAGCAGCUCAACCGCCGGCUUCCACAGAUUGUACGACAUUACCAAGCUCUGUUGCUUCAACGGGAAAUAAGGACCGUUAUCCAGUUGAUGACAUCACAAGGCCUGUGGCGUGCACACUGGUUAUAAGAUAUGGUAUUAACAAUAAACGUACAAAGAUAGUAGCCACAGGCCUUGCGAUCCCAGGACGCAAGUACCAUGGAAACGAUAUUCCAGAUGAUUAUUGCAAAGUAGAAGUGACGACGGUCGUCCAAGGAUACGAGGACGACAUGCUAGACAUCCCUGGGCCCGAAGGUAUCGAGAAACUUGGACAAGCUAUCAAGAAUUUUAUCCUUUGGCCUCGAAGGGAUGUCGAAUUGCUUGAUUGGUCGAAUUCGUCGCAGGUGUCGCAGGCCCAACCGUCUCCGCCUUCUCAAAUUGCUGUUCCUAUUGUACAUCCAUCCUCACCUCCUCAAACUUCACAUGCUGCUCCUCAUCCUUUUUCUGACCCACCGUCUCCGCCACAAGCAUCACCAUUCAGGGCUCCACCACCUUCUCCUCCCCAUCCUCUUGGUGACCCACUGUCUACGCCACCAUCAAGGGAUCCACCUUCUCCACAGCCAUCAAACGAUCCACGACCAUCAAAGAAAUCUAAACUUCCUAUACCAAAAUUGGUGUCCCCGUAUCAGAAAAAGAAGAGUAAAGCUACUACUGCUGGCACAGUUAGGUUUUUGAAAGGGAUUGGACGGAGCCUCACGUCACAAACUGUUGAUUUGGCCGAGCACGAGGAGUCUGCAAAAAAGGCUGAGGCAACGGACGCAAAGAUAAAGAAGCCAACUAAGGCAGAUUACAAAAACGUGCCUAAAAAAUAUGUGCCGGGCAGACCUCUGCUACCUCUUGACAAACUAAGAAAGGUCCCGGCUGGUGUUAAAAGGUUGCAUGACUGGUACAUGCGGGCAUCAUCGGUUGGCAUCGACACCAUCAGUGUGCAUAUACCAGACCAUGCUUUUAUUGGUUCGAACCAAAAGGCCGUUGUUACAUUCGAGGACAUGUGGUUAAUGAUGAACCUUCAGAGACUCGACGUGCAACUUGUAACGAUGUUUGCAUUGUAAGUGUCGCUCAUACUUCCACAUAUGUGUGUUAUUAUUAGUGAGCUGUAUAAAAUUUCAAUAUCUGACAUGCACGUGUGACUUGCAGAAUGCAACAUGAUCAGCAGGAGAUUCUUUACGGUACCAAGCCCAAUGCUAGUGCCAGUAAAAGGGUUGGGUAUCUCAACCCAAUACUUAUAUCCGAGGAAAGCCACACUUUUAGAAUCGGGAAAGACAACGAUGAAAUACGGGGAAAGACGGACGAAGAAGUUGAGAAGCGUAUAAAGGAAAUGAAGAAGGAUUUUGAAGCUCGAUACGCCACAUACAUAGGACAUGCAAUGCUUCAAUUUCAAGACAGGGAAGCCAUAAUGGCCCCGUACAACUUUAAGUAAGUGUGAUUUUGCAUAAAUAAAAUUAAUAAUUUCAAUACACAUGCAUCACAAAUUUGAUUCGUACAGGGACCACUGGAUAUGCUUCCUCAUUUAUCCUAAGGUUGGAAAGGUGCUGGUGCUCGACUCCUUGAACUUCGACCCUUCGACAUAUGCAACAUUCCUCAGCAUCUUAGAGCUGUAAGCCUUUUCUAUGCAUGCAUACUUUUAUCGAUUAAAAUUUGAGAAUAACAUGGUGAUUCUAUUUGAGAUCACAGUGCUUAUAGAUUCUAUAAGAUGAGAGGUGGAAAGUACGACCUGUCGAAAAAACAAGUGCCACUAGACAUCCAUCAUCACUGGCCGGUAAGUAUGUGAUUUUAUGAAUACAUAUCAUACACAAUGUUGCAACUAAAUAACCAAUCUCCCGUUAUGUAGUGCCACAAGCAACCACAAGGAUCGGUCCUAUGUGGAUUCUAUGCGUGCGAGUUCAUGAGAGUGAACGGACGAUACAUCACGAACCCUGACAAGGUAUUAUUAGUAAUAGUUAAGUAUGUAUUUAUGUCAUUAAAAGAUGCAAAUGUGUUAUUAUUGAGUAUAAAUAGAUGAUGUUUAUAAAAUUCCUUUACAGCAAUUUCAACGAGGAAACCCGGAGAACUUGACCGAAGCUGCAUUGUAUGGCAUAGUCGAGGACCUCUGCACAUUCAUAUUGAAAGAGGUCAUUCCCGCAGAAGGAAAAUAUCACGAUGCUUCCGGAACAUUAGCUUUGCCAGAGUUUAGAAUACUAACAAAAAUUAGUAGAUUAUCUCUUAGCCGAGAUAGUUAUUAGAGCUUAGGUGAAAACCUAUGAUGUAUAGAAUGCAUGAAGGAUAUAUGGUUGUAAACAAAAUACUUUCAUGUCGUAGAAUGCAUGAAAACUUAUGAUGUAUAGAAUUUAAUUUCAUGUUGCUUUCAAUAUCAAUAUAGAUCUAUAUAUAUAUAUGUUUGUGUGUGUGUAAAUAAAUAUAUAUAUAAUUCAGUAUUGUUUGAAAUUUUGAAAAAAGGCGGGAAAGUUCCACUGGCGGCUGAAUAAAGAAAACCGCCAGUGAAAAGUGCAUUUCCACUGGCGGUUUGCUUUAUAAAACCGCCAGUGAAAAUGCAUUUUCACUGGCGGUUUUCUUUAUUCAGCCGCCAGUGGAAAUGAACUUUUCACUGGCGGUUCCUUAAGAAAACCGCCAGUGAAAAUGCACUUUUCACUGGUGGUUCCAAAAUAACCGCCAGUGGAAAUGCUGAUUUCCACUGACCCCUAGCAUUGGCGGUACUGAAAAACGCCAGUGUAAAUAUGUUUAGAACCGCCACUAUAGAGCUUCUGUGUACUAGUGUUUCCACAUGCGGUUGAGUAAAUAAAAUCGCUCACGCUUUCUACUAAUCCCUAGCACUAGAGAUUCUGAAAAACGUCAGUGAAAAUGAGUUACGAACUACCUUUAUAUAGCUUCUUUGUACUAGUAUCUCAUCUGCUCUCUUAUUUCAAACGACAUUGUUUACAUGUAACUAGUGUUGUCUACAUAUAUAUAGGCAUAGCAAUGCACGAUUUAUUGGCCACGACAUUAGGCUAUCUCCAACAGUCUUACUGUCUCGCUUCUCAUUUCAAGCUACACUUUGUAAAUAGUGCAUCUACAGCGUUGCACGCUAUUGUUAAUUGUAGAGGAAAAAAAAUAUUUAUAUACCGGAUGUAAAUAAUCUAUUUUACACAACCUCUCACAUAUACCAGCUACUGGUCCAUUUAAAUAGAAGAAAAACAAGUUACUAAAGGGUUAUUUUGUAAAUUUUGAUAUGUCUUUGGGGUCUUUAAGUGGUGGAUGUGAUGGUAUGUGUCGGGGACCAUAAUUAGGGGUACCCCCAAGACUCCUAAUCUCAGCUGGUAACCCCCAUCAGCACAAAGUUGCAAAGGCCUGAUGGGCGCGAUUAAGGUCAAGGCUCAGUCCACUCAAGGGACACGAUCUCGCCUCGCCCGAGCCCAGCCUCGGGCAAAGGCAGCCGACCCCGGAGGAUUCACGUCUCGCCCGAGGGCCCCCUCAAGCAACGGACACACCUUCGGCUCGCCCGAGGCCUAGUCUUCGCAGAGAAGCAACCUUGGCCAGAUCGCCACGCCAACCGACCAUAUCGCAGGAGCAUUUAAUGCAAGGAUCGCCUGACACCUUAUCCUAACGCGCGCUCUUCAGUCGACAGAGUUGAAGUGACCACAGUCACUUCGCCGCUCCACUGACCGACCUGACAAGAAAACAGCACCGUCUGCGUCGCUCCGACUGCUGUGCCACUCGACAGAGUGAGGCUGACAGCAGCUAAGUCCAGCCUCGGGCGCCAUAGGAAGCUCCGCCUCGCCCGAUCCCAGGGCUCGGGCUCAACCUCGACGAUGGACGACGGACUCCGCCUCGCCCGACCCCAGGGCUCGGACACGGCCUCGGCCUCGGAAGACGGUCUCCGCCUCGCCCGACCCCAGGGCUCGGGCUCAACCUCGACGCUGGACGACGGACUCCGCCUCGCCCGACCCAGGGCUCGGACUCAGCCUUGCUUGGCCUCGGAAGACGGUCUCCGCCUCGCCCGACCCAGGGCUCAGACUCAACCUCGACCUCGGAAGACGGACUCCGCCUCGCCCGACCCCAGGGCUCGGACUCAGCCUCGACCUCGGAAGACGGACACGACCUCGACCUCGGUGGAGCCGCCACCUCGCCCAAACUCGGGUCCGGACCGGCCACGUCGCCAGGGGGGCCAUCAUUACCCUACCCCUAGCUAGCUCAGGCUACGGGGAACAAGACCGACGUCCCAUCUGGCUCGCCCCAGUAAAUAAAUAAUGAUGGCGCUCCGCGUGCUCCAUGACGACGGCGGCUCUCAGCCCCUUACGGAAGCAAGGAGACGUCAGCAAGGAUUCGACAGCCCCGACAGCUGUCCUUCCGCAGGGCUCCAGCUCUCCUCCGACGGCCACGACAUCACAUGAAUAGGGUGCCAAAACCUCUCCGGCUGCCACGACGACAUGUACUUAGGGCUCUAGCUCCUCUCUGCUAGACACGUUAGCACACUGCUACACCCCCAUUGUACACCUGGACCCUCUCCUUACGCCUAUAAAAGGAAGGUCCAGGGCUCUCGUACGAGAAGGUUGGCCACGCGGGAGAACGGUCCGGCGCAUAAGGCUCUCGCUCUCUCCCACGCGAACGCUUGUAACCCCCUACUGCAAGCGCAUCCAUCCGCCCUGGGCGCAGGACAACACGAAGGCUGCGGGUUCCCCUUUACUGUUCUCCCCCCUUUGUGUCCUGUCUCGCGCCGACCCAUCUGGGCUGAGACACGCAACGACAAUUUACUCGUCGGUCCAGGGACCCCUCGGGGUCGAAACACCGACAGUUGGCGCGCCAGGUAGGGGCCUGCUGCGUGUUGACGAACAGCUUCCCAUCAAGCUCCAGAUGGUAGUCUUCAGCAACCUUUCCAACCCGGGACGAUGCUCCGUUUCGAGAGUCUUGAGUUCAUGUCCCUCGACGGCAGCUACGACAUGAUACUCCUUCCUCCGCCGCGCGACAGUGACAAUGGCGGCCAUCAGCCCGCCCGCCGGCGGCGGAUUCAACGACGUCUUCCCCACAUGGCGGAAGAACAACAUUCAGGUUUGUCCCGUCACCUCCCCCACCAACGGAGGAGGAGGCGGGGCAACCAUGGCCAAGCAGGAGGCGGCACCUCGUCGGCUGUCGAGCAAGUCAACGACGCCGGCGCCCCAGCGGGGGACAUGUCGGGCUUCGACCUUGCGUCUGAGACGAAGAUGAACGUCGUUUCCCCGCAACACGCCAACCCCAAGCAGACGGACGACGCCAGCACGCUCACAAAGGACUUGCUGGGCGUUGCCCUCGUACCUGAGACAACGGUGCAGUCCGCCCCUGACGCGACUUCAUCACCGCCCGUCGACCAAGAGGUACCGACCGAUUCCCAUCUCGUGCCUUUUGGAUUCAGCUUCGACCUACCAAGCGACCUCGCUUCGGUGGAAGCCUUCAUAGAGGCAUGUACCAACCCUCCGGGGUACAUAUGCGGUCGCCCUGGGACAGACUGACGACCGUCUCGACCUACGGACCCUCGGAUUCCGAGGAAGAUGACGAGCCCGACUUUUGUUGGGAUUUCUCCGGGCUCGGUAACCCCAGUGCCAUGCAGGACUUCAUGACCGCAUGCGACUACUGCCUCUCCGAUUGUUCCGAUGGUAGCCGCAGCUUCGGCGACGAGGACUGCGGCCCAAGUCGUGAAUGUUUCCAUGUCGAUCUAGGGGGUCCCGGUGAAGGCAACCAUCUUGGUAUGCCGGAAAACGGCGAUCCCCUAGGUCUGCGCCUCGCGUUGACAUCCUUCGGGAGCUAGCUGUGGUCCCAGUCCCUGCGGGGGGUCAGGACGCACAGCUCGAGCAAAUCCGCGAGAUGCAGGCCAGGCUCGACGAGGGAGCAGGAACACUUGAGCAGUUCCGGCGGAACAUCGGGCAGGAAUGGGCAGACCAAGCUUCGGCCGGAGAAGCGCGUCAUCUACCCCAGGGCAUCCAGCACCGCAUUGCCGACGACAUCAGGGCAAGGCCGCCACCAGCUUCCAGUGGGGUUGGCCAGAACCUGGCUGCAGUAGCAAUACUACUCCGCGUGAUGCCGGAACCAUCGACCACCGAAGGGCGGCGUAUCCAGGGAGAGCUCAAGAAUCUCCUGGAGGAUGCCGCGGUCCGACGGGUCGAAAGCUCUGCCUCCCGAAGGCAGAGGUACCCCUCGGAGCAUCGCGCCGCGACUUCCCGAUUCGUGCGGGAAGCCUCGGUCCACACCGGGCGCACGCGCAACACGCCGCCUGCGGCCCCGGGUUGCCUCGGCAACGAGCACCACCACCGCAACCGUCGUGCCCACCUCGACGAGAGGGUGCGCCGAGGCUACCACCCUAGGCGUGGGGGACGCUACGGCAGCGGGGAGGAUCGAAGCCCCUCGCCCGAACCACCCGGUCCGCAGGCUUUCAGCCGGGCCAUACGACGGGCACCGUUCCCGACCCGGUUCCGAACCCCGACUACCAUCACAAAGUACUCGGGGGAGACAAGGCUGGAAUUGUGGCUCACGGACUACCGACUGGCCUGCCAGCUGGGUGGAAUGGAUGAUGACAACCUCAUCAUCCGCAACCUCCCCCUGUUCCUCUCUGACACCGCUCGAGCCUGGCUGGAGCAUCUGCCUCCGGGGCAGAUCUCUAACUGGGACGACCUGGUCCAAGCCUUCGCCGGCAACUUCCAGGGCACGUACGUGCGCCCUGGGAACUCCUGGGAUCUCUGAAGCUGCCGCCAGCAGCCGGAAGAGUCUCUCCGAGACUACAUCCGGCGAUUCUCGAAGCAGCGCACCGAGCUGCCCAAUGUCACCGACUCGGACGUCAUCGGCGCGUUCCUCGCCGGCACCACCUGCCGCGACCUGGUGAACAAGCUGGGUCGCAAGACCCCCACCAGGGCGAGCGAGCUGAUGGACAUCGCCACCAAGUUCACCUCUGGCCAGGAGGCGGUUGAGGCCAUCUUCCGAAAGGACAAGCAGCCCCAGGCCCGCCAGCCGAAAGACGUCCCCGAGGCGUCCACUCAGCGCGGCACCAAGAAGAAGAACAAGAAGAAGUCGCAAGCGAAACGCAACGCCACCAACGCGGACCUUGUCACCGCCGCUGAGUACAAGAACCCUCGGAAGCCUCCCGGAGGUGCCAACCUGUUCGACAAGAUGCUCAAGGAGCCGUGCCCCUAUCAUCAGGGGACCGUCAAGCACACCCUUGAGGAGUGCGUCAUGCUUCGGCGCCACUUUCACAAGGCCAGGCCACCGGCGGAAGGUGGCAGGGCCCACAACAACGACAAGAAGGAGGAUCACAAGGCAGAGGAGUUCCCCGAGGUCCACGACUGCUUCAUGAUCUACGGUGGGCCAGUGGCGAACGCCUCGGCUCGGCACCGCAAGCAAGAGCGUCGGGAGGUCUACUCGGUAAAGGUGGCGGCGCCAGUCUACCUAGACUGGUCCGACAAGCCCAUCACCUUCGAUCAGGGUGACCACCCCGACCAUGUGCCGAGCCCGGGGAAAUAUCCGCUCGUUGUCGACCCCGUCAUUGGCAACGUCAGGCUCACCAAGGUCCUCAUGGACGGAGGCAGCAGCCUCAACAUCAUCUACGCCGAGACCCUCGGGCUCCUGCAGAUCGAUCUGUCCUCGAUCCGGACAGGCGCGACGCCUUUUCACGGGAUCAUCCCCGAGAAACGCAUCCAACCCCUCGGACAACUCGAUCUGCCCGUCUGCUUCGGGACUCCCUCCAACUUCCGAAGGAAAACCCUCACGUUCGAGGUGGUCGGGUUCCGAGGAACCUACCACACAUUACUGAGGAGGCCAUGCUACGCCAAGUUCAUGGCCGUCCCCACUACACCUACCUCAAGCUCAAAAUGCCGGGCCCCAACGGGGUCAUCACCGUCGGCCCCACAUACCGACACGCGUACAAAUGCGACGUGGAGUGCGUGGAGUACGCCGAGGCCCUCACCGAAUCCGAGGCCCUCAUCACCGACCUGGAGAGCCUCUCCAAGGAGGCGCCAGAUGCGAAGCGCCACGCCAGCAACUUCGAGCCAGCUGAGACAGUCAAAUCCGUCCCUCUCGACCCCAGCAACGACGCCUCCAAGCAGAUACGGAUCGGCUCCGAGCUCGACCCCAAAUAGGAAGCAGUGCUCGUCGACUUCCUCCGCGCGAAUGCCGAAGUUUUCGCGUGGAGUCCCUCGGACAUUCCUGGCAUACCGAGGGAUGUCGCCGAGCACUCGCUGGAUAUCCGAGCUGGAGCCCGACCCGUGAAGCAGCCUCUGCGCCGAUUCGACAAAGAAAAGCGCAGAGCCAUAGGCGAGGAGGUCCACAAGCUGAUGGCCGCAGGGUUCGUCAAAGAGGUAUUCCAUCCCGAAUGGCUUGCCAACCCUGUGCUUGUGAGAAAGAAAGGAGGGAAAUGGCGGAUGUGUGUAGACUACACUGGUCUAAACAAAGCAUGUUCGAAGGUUCCCUACCCUUUGCCUCGCAUCGAUCAAAUCGUGGAUUCCACUGCUGGGUGCGAAACCCUGUCUUUCCUCGAUGCCUACUCAGGGUAUCACCAAAUCAGGAUGAAAGAGUCCGACCAGCUCGCGACUUCUUUCAUCACGCCCUUUGGCAUGUACUGCUACGUUACCAUGCCAUUUGGUUUGAGGAAUGCGGGUGCGACGUACCAAAGGUGCAUGAACCACGUGUUCGGAGAGCACAUUGGUCGAACGGUCGAGGCUUACGUCGAUGACAUCGUAGUCAAGACGAGGAAAGCCUCCGACCUCCUCUCUGACCUUGAAACGACAUUCCAGUGUCUCAAGGCGAAAGGCGUAAAACUCAAUCCCGAGAAGUGCGUCUUCGGAGUCCCCCGAGGCUUGCUCUUGGGGUUCAUCGUCUCAGAGCGGGGCAUCAAGGCCAACCCGGAGAAAAUCGCGGCCAUCACCAACAUGGGGCCCAUCAUGGACUUGAAAGGCGUACAGAGGGUCAUGGGAUGCCUUGCGGCUCUGAGCCGUUUCAUCUCGCGCCUCAGAGAAAGAGGCCUACCUCUGUACCGCCUCUUGAAGAAGACCGAGUGCUUCACUUGGACCCCCGAGGCCGAGGAAGCCCUCGGAAACCUAAAAGCGCUCCUUACCAGCGCGCCCAUCUUGGUGCCCCCCGCUGCCGGAGAAGCCCUCUUGAUCUACGUCGCCGCUACCACCCAGGUGGUCAGCGCCGCGAUCGUGGUUGAGAUACGAGAAGAAGGGCAUGCAUUGCCCGUCUAGAGGCCGGUCUACUUCAUCAGUGAGGUACUGUCUGAGACCAAGAUCCGCUACCCAUAAAUUCAGAAGCUGCUGUACGCGGUGAUUCUGACGCGGCGGAAGUUGCGACACUACUUCGAGUCUCAUCCGGUGACUGUGGUGUCAUCCUUCCCCCCUGGGGGAGAUCAUCCAGUGCCGAGAGGCCUUGGGUAGGAUUGCAAAGUGGGCGGUGGAGAUCAUGGGCGAGACGAUCUCGUUCGCCCCUCGGAAGGCCAUCAAGUCCCAAGUCUUGGCAGACUUUGUGGCUGAAUGCGUCGACACCCAGCUUCCAGCAGCUCCGAUCCAACCGGAACUCUGGACCAUGUUUUUAGACAGGUUGCUGAUGAAAACAGGGGUAGGCGCGGGCCUGCUCUUCAUCUCGCCCCUCGGGAAGCACCUCCUCUACGUGUUGCGCCUCCAUUUCCCGGCGUCCAACAACGUGGCUGAGUACGAGGCUCUGGUCAAUGGGUUGCGCAUCGCCAUCGAGCUAGGGGUCCGACGCCUCGACGCUCGCGGUGACUCGCAGCUUGUCAUCGACCAAGUCAUGAAGAACUCCCACUGCCGCGACCCGAAGAUGGAAACCUACUGCGACGAGGUUCGGCGCCUGGAAGACAAGUUCUACGGUCUCGAGGUCAACCACGUCGCCUGGCGGUACAACGAGACUGCAGACGAGCUAGCGAAGAUAGCUUCGGCGCGAACAACGGUUCCCCCGAACGUCUUCUCCUGGGACCUACAUCAACCCUCAGUCAAGACAAACGACACACCCGAGCCCGAAAAGGUCUCGGCCCUGCCCGAAGUGCCCUCGACUCAGCCCGAGGCACCCUCGGCCCCCGAGGGUGAGGCUCUGCGCAUCGAGGAAGAGCGGAAUGGGGUCACGCCUAAUCGAAACUGGUAGACCCCAUACCUGCAAUAUCUCCACCGAGGAGAGCUACCCCUCGACAGAGCCGAAGCUCGGCGACUGGCGCUGCGCGCCAAGUCAUUCGUCUUGCUGGGUGACGGGAAGGAGCUCUACCAGCGCAGCCCCUCCGGCAUCCUCCAGCGAUGCAUAUCCGUCGCCGAAGGCCAGGAGCUCUUACGAGAAAUACACUCGGGGGCUUGCGGUCAUCACGCAGCGCCUCGAGCCCUUGUUGAAAACGCUUUCCGACAAGGUUUCUACUGGCCGACCGCGGUGGCCGAUGCCACUAGAACUGUCCGCACCUGCCAAGGGUGUCGAUUCUACGCAAAGCAGACCCACCUACCUGCUCAGGCUCUGCAAACAAUACCCAUCACCUGGCCGUUUGCUGUGUGGGGUCUGGACCUCGUCGGUCCCUUGCAGAAGGCGCCCGGGGUCUACACGCACCUGCUGGUCGCCAUCGACAAAUUCUCCAAGUGGAUCGAGGUCCGACCCCUAAACAGCAUCAGGUCCGAACAGGCGGUGGCGUUCUUCACCAACAUCAUCCAUAGCUUUGGGGUCCCGAACUCCAUCAUCACCGACAACGACACCUAGUUCACCGGCAGAAAGUUCCUGGACUUCUGCGAGGAUCACCACAUCCGGGUGGACUGGGCCGCCGUGGCUCACCCCAUGACGAAUGGGCAGGUAGAACGUGCCAACGACAUGAUUCUGCAAGGACUCAAGCCGAGGAUCUACAACGACCUCCACAAGUUCGGCAUGCGAUGGAUGAAGGAACUCCCCUUGGUGGUCUGGAGCCUGAGGACGACGCCAAGUCGAGCCAAAGGACGAGGGCCUACGACGACCGACGCAACCAGACCAACCGAGAAGACUCACUGGACCAGCUGGAAGAGGCUCCGAACAUGGCCUUACUACACUCGGCGCAGUAUCAGCAGUCCCUGUGACGCUACCACGCCCGAGGGGUUCAGUCCCGAGACCUCCAGGUGGGCGACUUGGUACUUCGACUACGACAAGACGCCCGAGGGCGGCACAAGCUCAUGCCUCCCUCGGAAGGGCCGUUCGUCAUCGCCAAGGUUCUGAAGCCCGGGACGUACAAGCUGGCCAACAGUCAAGGCGAGGUCUACAUCAACGCUUAGAACAUCCGACAGCUACGUCGCUUCUACCCUUAAGAUGUUUUCAAGCCGUUCAUAUACCUCGUUUACAUAUAAAGUCUAACCAUCAAGGAAGGGUCAGCCUUGCCUCGGCAAAGCCCGACCCUCCCUCCGGGGCUAGAAGGGGGGGGGAACCCCCUCCGCGUCAAAAUUUUCCUCGGAAAAAGUCUUUCUGCCAGAAUAUCUUUCGUGCUUUUCGACUACUUUGGUAGUGGGAUCAUGAAAACGACGGAGUACACGUAAGCAGGCAAGGCCGACCGAGCCGAGGGACUCCUACGCCUCCGGGAUACGGAUACCUCACUCAUCGCCUUCUAUGAGAAGUAACUCGCGUUCAGAUGAGCGAUCCUGCUGACCGAACAAGCCUUAACGCUCAAAAGACUUUCUGCCGAAAUGGUUUUUCGGGUUUUCUCGGCUACGUUGAUAAUAGAAUCCCGCAGACGAGCAAGAGUACACGUAAGCGGCAAGGCCGACCGAGCCGAGGGAUUCCUAUGCCUCCGGGAUACGGAUACCUCACUCAUCACCUUUCGUGAGAAGUAUGAAGCGUCCCCAAUCCUCUGGGACUCAAAUGUGAUACAAUUACUAGUCCCAGGAGGCUAGUAAACACAUUUAUACAUCAGAUGAUUCCAGAUCUGCUUAAACGAGACAAACCUAUAAAGGUGGCGAUCAACUUUAAGAGUUGGUCCACAACUCGGGACAUAUCAUCAGAGUGGGGCUGAAGCAGCCCGAUAUACGCAGUGAAGCAAAUCAGCGGUCCAACAGCCACAGGCAAGGUUGGGAACAGUCGUAACUCUUACCCGAUCUCCUUUUUCUGAAAAACAACAAAUAAGCAAGGGUGAGUACAAACGUACUCAGCAGCCCACCUUCACCCGCGGAAUGGGGAAAUCAGAUAUAAUGCAUGGAAUAUGUGGAGCUCAGGAUAUUUUGCAGAAACAGCAAUAUUUUAUGCAGAGUUGUUUUGAAAAACAUUUUGUAUUUUUGCAAAGCGCAUCCUCUCCAAAAGGAGCAGGAGUUUUUCAGUAUUAUAAUAAAAUCCUCUGGACUAAACCAUCCAGGUAUCUCAGCAGUUUCCCACUGGUUUUCAUUUUCAAAAACAGCUACUGGACUUCCCGUCCACCAUAGCUCACGGCUCAACCGCCGAACCUUAUAAAAACCACUUUUCAAAAACAUCUCUUUUUUUUGGAAAACAAAACAUUAAUUGCCAUACCAUACCAGACUCGUCCAUUCCUGUGGACACAGACUAUUCGAAUAGGUUUUCAAACUCUGCGCAGAGGUGUACACUUUACCCACUAGUCCGGCUCUGUGAUCUCAUGAUCAAUGAGAUCCGAAUCCGAAUCUCUUUCUUUCCUCGCACGUCCUAACCUUAACGGUUAUCCGGAAGGAGUCAGGCCACCGCCAUGUCCAAACCGGACAAAACUUUCCCCCUCCUUAUCCUCCCGGUGCUCCCCAGCCUUCAUAACCCUGGGGUUGAACCGUACGAGUUCAGAUUGAGUGACUGCCCACACAGUCUCGAGUGGUUGUACUAUUAAAGAGUACAGGUAGUGAAGAUGACAAACCGGUCCUUAUACGAGGGGAUAAUCCUUCUGCUCACGCCUAAACCAGCUGAGCCAUCACCUUAGGCCCUCCCCUAAACCAGGGAGUCCCUGAUUAUCCCACUCACAAGGUGAUAAGGGUGAAAACCCUUCAUCAUACACAUUUUGAAAAGCAUUUUCUUUUGAAAACUCACACCCUUUCUCAAAUCAUUUGUAACAAAUAUAUUAAGGAGUGAUUGCGGCAAGCGGCUUGGGUGGCCAUAAUAACUUGUCACAAAAUCAUAUCAUGCAUAAAAUAACAGGCUGAGGGUUGUGGUUGAAAAACAUAGGUAAUUUAUGCAUCAAAGGGAUCCAGUGAGCUUGCCGUGCUUAUUCGGCGAAGGGGGAAGGGGAGCUCGCGGAACUGGCUUCUGGCUCCACCGCCUAGCGUAGACUUGCAGAUCUGGCCUCCACGAGACGGCACGAACGCUCCGAUAACUAUGCAACAUGAACAAGCAAACAUACAAACCAACAAGUAUACCAACAAAUAUUUAGUAUAGUGGUCAGAAUAGCGAUAUAUGGAUGGGUAGAGUCUUGAGUAGAAUCUGUGUCAUGUGGUGUUGUGAUAUUACUAGUGGUGGAGCGGAGGUGCUUACCAGGAGGGUGGACUGGAGGCGAAGCGACACUAUGUGUGUAGCCGGCAGAGCAGAGUAACUGAGUGGGUGGGGUGUUUGCCUUGGCUGAGGGUGUUGAGUGUGUGUGGAGAGGGAGAGGGUAGCUGGGUGUAUUUAUAGCUGGGUGUAUGUGGUGUAGCACAGUGAAGUUCACUGUUGGUGAGAAUAGUGACGAAUGAAUCGUCUGACUUAGUAUGAACAGGAGAGUUAUAGGCAGAAUAUGGGACAAGAGUAUUUUGGGAGUUUUCUGGAAUAUGGACCAUGCUUAAGGGAUGACAUGGUUGGGUAGGGAAUAGUUUGAUAAGAAUUUAGAAACGAGAUUUAUUGGAAUCUGAGUUUGGGAGCCUGGUUCGAAGGAUUCUCAAAGUUAAGCGUGCUCAACUUGGAGAAACCUGGGAUGGGUGACCAGAUGGGAAGUUCCCUACUGGAAGAAAAAUCACAGUCACCGGAGUUCGUAUGACUGGAAUAUGGGUCUGGCUGGUCUUAGGUGGACUGGACAACAUGAUGUACGAGUAGUUGAAAUUUGGGAUGACUAGAUGACUGAUGAAUAGUAACGAUGAUCAGUAACGAUGAAUAGUGGCGAUGGAAAAGAAAUUAUAGAUAUCAUCGAUGAAUAGUAACGAUGAUGAAUAGUAAUGAUAAAUAGUAACGAUGAUGAAUAGUGUAUGUGAAUAGUAAUGGUGAAUAGUAAUGGUGAAUAGUGAUAGUGAAUAGUUUGAACGAACGAUGAAUAGGAACUAUGAACGAACGGACGAACGAUCGAAUGAUCGGACGAACGAACGAUCGGAAUUUCGGCAGCAUAACGGCAGGAAAAGAUUAUUUGGACGAACGAACGGACGAACGAUCGAAUGAUCAUACGAACGAACGAUCGGAAUUUCGGCAGCAUAACGGCAGGACAAAAAUUAUCUGGAAGAACGAUGAAUAGGGACUAUGAACGAACGAUGAAUCGAUGAAUAGGGACUAUGAACGAACGAUGAAUGAUCGAAUGAUCGAACGAACGAACGAUCGGAAUUUCGGCAGCAUAACGGCAGGACAAAGAUUAUCUGGAAGAACGAUGAAUAGGGACUAUGAACGAACGAUGAAUCGAUGAAUAGGGACUAUGAACGAACGAUGAACGAUCGAAUGAUCGAAUGAACGAACGAUCGGAAUUUCGGCAGCAUAACGGUAGGAAAAAGAUUAUUUGGACGAACGAACGGACGAACGAUCGAAUGAUCGGACGAACGGACGAACGAACCAUGAACGAUCGGACGAACGAUCGAACGAUCAGACGAAUGAACGAACAAACUAAGAACAGGGGACGAACGAUCGAAGAACGACCGAACGAUCCUUGUGCUAGUGUGUGCUUGUGUGGAACAUGGACUGGGUGUGUGUGGGGGGGGGGAGAGAGUUGCCAUGAAAUGGCUUGGGGUGGGAUGAGAGGAGGCCCUUGCCCCUCUAUUUAUAGCCAUGGUGGGGGGAUUAGGGGGAGGGAUGAGAGGAUUAGUGGGAGGAUGAGAGGAUUAGUGGGAGGUUAGCAUGUAUUUGUCUUGUAUAAGUGUAAUUAGCUUGUAGAGCUCACCGUAUGACACUGGAGGCAUACGUAUACGUAUGAGCAUGAGGAAAGUUAUGAAGAAAAUAUUUAUAGGGACUUGAAAAAUGAUUCUGAAGGUAUUUCUCAGGAGGAAAAUAUCUGGAGAUAUAUCGGUGGAAUAUUUGGGCAGUAUUUCUGGAAAGAACUUGAAGAGGAUCACUAGGGAAAUAUCUGGGCAAUAUUUCUGUAAACAAUUUGAGGGGGAUCACUGAGGAAAUAUUUGUAGGAUAUUUUGAGGAGGAUUUUAGAGAGAAUAUAGACCACUAUACUUUAUUUGUUGAUAUCAACUCGCAAACAAACAUUUUGAAAUGAAAUUUGAAAUUCAUUUUGAAUUUAUAGCAAGUUUGAGAAAGUUUCAGGAUUUGAAUUUUUGGGAUGCUACAAAUCUACCCCACUUAAAAGGAAUCUCGUCCUCGAGAUUUGGCUUAGAAGGGUUAUGGGUAUAGCUUUACUUCAGCUACAUAUCUUCACUUUGCAGACUCUUCGAGGAGAUAGAGCUUCAACAAAAUCUGGCCUUGAGGGGCAUCCGGUUGCUAAUUGCAAGCGCUGAUUCUCGCUACUCAAGAUCAUCUUCAGGUUUCUAGGUUUCGCUUGGCAGCUAGCUUAUUGAAGAAGCAUCAAUGCCAACACGCAAACCUUUCUCUUGCGAACUUCCACAUGGAUUCCUUCCUUGAUUGGUCUUCUGGUGCUUCAUCAACAAAACUUGGGUGACCACUUCUCAUCCAGAAACUUAUAUGCUUGGACGAUCGGGUCCUCCACAAGCUUGCUACAUGCCUUCAUCUUUUUCUCCAUAGCAGGAACCUUACUGGAACACUACCCCACUUAAAAAGAAAGAGGGUAGAACUCUUGAAUCUUGGGGAUUUGAACUCCUUGAAGUACCUCAUAACAAAGGUGUUACGGGGCCUUCUUCUGCUGUUGCUGCUUGAGCAGGCUGCGGAGAAAUGACUGACACAGGGUUUAUUCUGGGACAACCUUCUUCUCAUCUUCUCUUCACUAUCUUCUUUUCUCUUCUCACUUUUCACUUUUCACUGCCUCUUUCUUUCUCUUUGCUCUUCCCACUCGAGGAUUCUAUCAAAGAGUAUUACCAUCAUACAGAGGAGGAAACCGAAGAUGUUGAACCAUAUACAACAGUCUUCAACCCAAGAAUCACCAAGCAUUGUGAUCUCAGGGGCGAGGGGUGGAAAAAUGGAGUUGCUAGCGAUUUGGCAGAGGGGAUUUAUCUGGAGUGUGCUUUUGCUUUGAGCGAGAUGGGAGUUGAGGGAGAUGGUGGGGGGCUUUUAUAGGCGAGCGGGGGUGUUCGGUUGCGGAGCAGUGGUGAUGGAGUAGGUGCUACGCGGCAGCGGGUGCGAUAAGGGGAGGGGGGCCUGGUGUUGCCGGCGAUGAUGGUGGCGGUGGGUGCGCUGCAAAGGUGGCGUGGGCGGUGGUAGUGCGCUGCAAAGGGGGCGUGGGGCGAUGGUAGUGCGCAUGGAGGCAGGCACGCGUGCGAGGGGCACGGGUGAGUGGUGGGGUCAAUGACCCUGAUGUUUGUGGUCUCUGGUUCCAAGAAUCUUUGCCUCUCUGUAUGGUAAUAACUCCUUCUGUCCUCUUUUCCUGUUUACUUUGACUCAGGGGCAGUGCUUUGAUUCUUACGGUCGGUCCUUUUGACUGAGCGACUGGACUGGUUUCUUCUGUAGCUUGUUCCAGGCUUCAAGGGUAAGCUUCCCGGUAUCUUCUUGGGUAAGGCACUUUUCUCUUGGGAUGGGUUAAGAUGAGAAUGGAAGCAUAAGGUGAGGAUUAGAUCUAAUUUGUGAUCUAUGUUUUUUAGAGAAAACCUUUCUUAAAAAACACACAAGCUCAGCAAUGAUAAGCACAAACAAAUCGAAUGUUUUGAAUAAGGGAAGAAUAGAGUUUUUCCAAAGCACGGACUACUCAGAUUCGGGGGCUAAGCAUAACUACUAUUGCUUGGCUCCUGAAUUGAGAACUAUGCUAAAUGCAACUUAUGAGCACUAACGUUAAAGCAUCACAUAUGCACUCAAAAGGGAGGAAAACAUCAAGCGAAAUUCAUUUUGAAAUGCCCUAGGGGGCAACACAAAUAGAGUUUUUCAAAGCACGGGACUACACGAUUAACUCUCAUACAUGCAGGGCUCUAGCCAAAGUGAAGAAAAACUUCACUACCCAAUGCAUGCAGAGGACUGGGCAUACUAACUUCAGACCAGACAACUUCUCUUCUGGCAGGGCUGGCACACAACUUCAAUCCGAGACAUCUCCUGGAUGGGUCAAGAGGGAGCUGACGUUGAUGACUUCUUCUGGCGGCGACUGAGAUGGCAGGACAGGGUCGAACUCUUCUUCAAGCGGGACUGGCUCUUGUAGCUCCUCUGAGGGCGGCGGUGCUGGCGGGGUGCUUGCAGCUUCUUCCUUGACCUCAAGGGAUGGUGCUGGAAUCUUCUUCAUGGUGAGGGGCUCAAACAACUCUGGCGGGGGAUCUUGGGAGGAUUCAGGGUGCUCUUGCUUAUCCAUAGCCUGAGGGGAGACUGGAAUUCCUUCCAAGACUAUGGCUCCUUCCGGUAGUUCCCAAAUCUUCUUCUCUCCUCUGAUAGAGACCAGGUGACCUUCAAGAAUCUGGGGGUCUUCAGUUUUGAUGGGUUCAACAGGGUUGGAUGGAGCGGGCUCUUGGAUCCGCAGGGCUCUACGUUGGUUAUGGGUGACCAAGUAGGCCUCCAUCAACUUCUAGACGUGCUCAUCCUUGGCUUGCUUCAGGGCUUCCACAACAAUGACUUCACGACUUUCCAAGGCAGCUACACGGGCUUGAGCUGCGGUGAGAUCCACAUGCAGCUGACGGUUGCGCUUCUCUGCAUCUUCUGCUCGGGCAAUCAUCUGACGGUGGUGCCGAGCCAAGAAAUCAUACUGUGCAUCAAGGGUGAGCAGGUAUGCAGUGAGGUACACGACUGUGGGGUCAUCCUCAAGCAGCUGCUGCCCUUCCAAUGCACGCAUCCUGGCCAUCCAAGCGGGACGGUCUCUCUGAAAGGGCGGAAAGAAUCUGAGCGGAGUGUCGGCCACUUCUUCUUCAUAGAUCUGACACAGGGCCCUCAAUGCCUUACGGGCGACGUCUUGGCAGGUGUCUCUGAAUCUGUGCCCAGCAGCAGUGACACUCCAUUCCACAUGGUGUGGACUGGAUCCAAUGUAUAUAGUCACGACACACUUCUCUGUGCCAUGCUCGACGAAUUCACGACCAUCAUACUCUGGCUGGCUCCUGAUUCCGAGGCGAACUGUGCAUGCUCUCAGCAACUUGGGGAAACCAUCUUCAUUCUGGCAAAAGCUGGUUUGGCACUGAACCUCCAUCUGACUUCUGAGAGAAGGAAAGGGGGAAAACAUUUUUGAAAUGAAGGGAUGAGAGCAAGAAUUUUUUUUUAAGAAAAUAGUUUUGACUCAAAAACUUUUGAUCAGGCUAAGGGUUACGUCCUGCGGACAACCUAACAGCUCUGAUACCACCUGAAGCGUCCCCAAUCCUCUAGGACUCAAAUGUGAUACAAUUACUAGUCCCAGGAGGCUAGUAAACACAUUUAUACAUCAGAUGAUUCCAGAUCUACUUAAACGAGACAAACCUAUAAAGGUGGCGAUCAACUUUAAGAGUUGGUCCACAACUCGGGACAUAUCAUCAGAGUGGGGCUGAAGCAGCCCGAUAUACGCAGUGAAGCAAAUCAGCGGUCCAACAGCCACAGGCAAGGUUGGGAACAGUCGUAACUCUUACCCGAUCUCCUUUUUCUGAAAAACAACAAAUAAGCAAGGGUGAGUACAAACGUACUCAGCAGCCCACCUUCACCCGCGGAAUGAGGAAAUCAGAUAUAAUGCAUGGAAUAUGUGGAGCUCAGGAUAUUUUGCAGAAACAACAAUAUUUUAUGCAGAGUUGUUUUGAAAAACAUUUUGUAUUUUUGCAAAGCGCAUCCUCUCCAAAAGGAGCAGGAGUUUUUCAGUAUUAUAAUAAAAUCCCCUGGACUAAACCAUCCAGGUAUCUCAGCAGUUUCCCACUGGUUUUCAUUUUCAAAAACAGCUACUGGACUUCCCGUCCACCAUAGCUCACGGCUCAACCGCCGAACCUUUUAAAAACCACUUUUCAAAAACAUCUCUUUUUUUUGGAAAACAAAACAUUAAUUGCCAUACCAUACCAGACUCGUCCAUUCCUGUGGACACAGACUAUUCGAAUAAGUUUUCAAACUCUGCGCAGAGGUGUACACUUUACCCACUAGUCCGGCUCUGCGAUCUCAUGAUCAAUGAGAUCCGAAUCCGAAUCUCUUUCUUUCCUCGCACGUCCUAACCUUAACGGUUAUCCGGAAGGAGUCAGGCCACCGCCAUGUCCAAACCGGACAAAACUUUCCCCCUCCUUAUCCUCCCGGUGCUCCCCAGCCUUCAUAACCCUGGGGUUGGACCGUACGAGUUCAGAUUGAGUGACUGCCCACACAGUCUCGAGUGGUUGUACUAUUAAAGAGUACAGGUAGUGAAGAUGACAAACCGGUCCUUAUACGAGGGGAUAAUCCUUCUGCUCACGCCUAAACCAGCUGAGCCAUCACCUUAGGCCCUCCCCUAAACCAGGGAGUCCCUGAUUAUCCCACUCACAAGGUGAUAAGGGUGAAAACCCUUCAUCAUACACAUUUUGAAAAGCAUUUUCUUUUGAAAACUCACACCCUUUCUCAAAUCAUUUGUAACAAAUAUAUUAAGGAGUGAUUGCGGCAAGCGGCUUGGGUGGCCAUAAUAACUUGUCACAAAAUCAUAUCAUGCAUAAAAUAACAGGCUGAGGGUUGUGGUUGAAAAACAUAGGUAAUUUAUGCAUCAAAGGGAUCCAGUGAGCUUGCCGUGCUUAUUCGGCGAAGGGGGAAGGGGAGCUCGCGGAACUGGCUUCUGGCUCCACCGCCUAGCGUAGACUUGCAGAUCUGGCCUCCACGAGACGGCACGAACGCUCCGAUAACUAUGCAACAUGAACAAGCAAACAUACAAACCAACAAGUAUACCAACAAAUAUUUAGUAUAGUGGUCAUAAUAGCGAUAUAUGGAUGGGUAGAGUCUUGAGUAGAAUCUGUGUCAUGUGGUGUUGUGAUAUUACUGGUGGUGGAGCGGAGGUGCUUACCAGGAGGGUGGACUGGAGGCGAAGCGACACUAUGUGUGUAGCCGGCAGAGCAGAGUAACUGAGUGGGUGGGGUGUUUGCCUUGGCUGAGGGUGUUGAGUGUGUGUGGAGAGGGAGAGGGUAGCUGGGUGUAUUUAUAGCUGGGUGUAUGUGGUGUAGCACAGUGAAGUUCACUGUUGGUGAGAAUAGUGACGAAUGAAUUGUCUGACUUAGUAUGAACAGGAGAGUUAUAGGCAGAAUAUGGGACAAGAGUAUUUUGGGAGUUUUCUGGAAUAUGGACCAUGCUUAAGGGAUGACAUGGCUGGGUAGGGAAUAGUUUGAUAAGAAUUUAGAAACGAGAUUUAUUGGAAUCUGAGUUUGGGAGCCUGGUUCGAAGGAUUCUCAAAGUUAAGCGUGCUCAACUUGGAGAAACCUGGGAUGGGUGACCAGAUGGGAAGUUCCCUACUGGAAGAAAAAUCACAGUCACCGGAGUUCGUAUGACUGGAAUAUGGGUCUGGCUGGUCUUAGGUGGACUGGACAACAUGAUGUACGAGUAGUUGAAAUUUGGGAUGACUAGAUGACUGAUGAAUAGUAACGAUGAUCAGUAACGAUGAAUAGUGGCGAUGGAAAAGAAAUUAUAGAUAUCAUCGAUGAAUAGUAACGAUGAUGAAUAGUAAUGAUAAAUAGUAACGAUGAUGAAUAGUGUAUGUGAAUAGUAACGAUGAAUAGUAAUGGUGAAUAGUAAUGGUGAAUAGUGAUAGUGAACAGUUUGAACGAACGAUGAAUAGGAACUAUGAACGAACGGACGAACGAUCGAAUGAUCGGACGAACGAACGAUCGGAAUUUCGGCAGCAUAACGGCAGGAAAAGAUUAUUUGGACGAACGAACGGACGAACGAUCGAAUGAUCAUACGAACGAACGAUCGGAAUUUCGGCAGCAUAACGACAGGACAAAGAUUAUCUGGAAGAACGAUGAAUAGGGACUAUGAACGAACGAUGAAUCGAUGAAUAGGGACUAUGAACGAACGAUGAACGAUCGAAUGAUCGAACGAACGAACGAUCGGAAUUUCGGCAGCAUAACGGCAGGACAAAGAUUAUCUGGAAGAACGAUGAAUAGGGACUAUGAACGAACGAUGAAUCGAUGAAUAGGGACUAUGAACGAACGAUGAACGAUCGAAUGAUCGAAUGAACGAACGAUCGGAAUUUCGGUAGCAUAACGGUAGGAAAAAGAUUAUUUGGACGAACGAACGGACGAACGAUCGAAUGAUCGGAUGAAUGGACGAACGAACCAUGAACGAUCGGAUGAACGAUCGAACGAUCAGACGAACGAACGAACAAACUAAGAACAGGGGACGAACGAUCGAAGAACGACCGAACGAUCCUUGUGCUAGUGUGUGCUUGUGUGGAACAUGGAGUGGGUGUGUGUGGGGGGGAGAGAGUUGCCAUGAAAUGGCUUGGGGUGGGAUGAGAGGAGGCCCUUGCCCCUCUAUUUAUAGCCAUGGUGGGGGGGAUUAGGGGGAGGGAUGAGAGGAUUAGUGGGAGGAUGAGAGGAUUAGUGGGAGGUUAGCAUGUAUUUGUCUUGUAUAAGUGUAAUUAGCUUGUAGAGCUCACCGUAUGACACUGGAGGCAUACGUAUACGUAUGAGCAUGAGGAAAGUUAUGAAGAAAAUAUUUAUAGGGACUUGAAAAAUGAUUCUGAAGGUAUUUCUCAGGAGGAAAAUAUCUGGAGAUAUAUCGGUGGAAUAUUUGGGCAGUAUUUCUGGAAAGAACUUGAAGAGGAUCACUAGGGAAAUAUCUGGGCAAUAUUUCUGUAAACAAUUUGAGGGGGAUCACUGAGGAAAUAUUUGUAGGAUAUUUUGAGGAGGAUUUUAGAGAGAAUAUAGACCACUAUACUUUAUUUGUUGAUAUCAACUCGCAAACAAACAUUUUGAAAUGAAAUUUGAAAUUCAUUUUGAAUUUAGAGCAAGUUUGAGAAAGUUUCAGGAUUUGAAUUUUUGGGAUGCUACAAAGUAACUCUAGCUCGGAUAAACGAUUCUGCUACCGACGAGCAAGCCCUGAUACUCGAAACAAGAGGAAAAGAAAUGCAGCUUUACAACGCGACGACAGUAUGUUUGGGCCUCAGCGGCCACAAAAAACAUAUGCAUACUACAGGCGAACCGGUCCUGCAGGCUCAGACGUCGAUGGAGGGGGAGCAGCAGCACCCUCGGCGUCAACUCCACCUUCGGCGAAGUCCGACCGAGCCUCGGACGGCAACACGGACGAAGGAUCUCCACUCCGAAGGACGACGUCAGCACCACGCCCGGGCCAUCGCCGCCAGGGUCUCCUUCAGGAACCCGGCCCGAGCAGACGGCUCGGCCGGCCACCCCGAAGCCUCAGCCAGCUGUCCCCCGAGGACACCAGCCCGGCUCAUGGCCUCGGCAACCUGACUCCGGCGCUGGUCCCGCCAGUGGACGGCCUGGCCAGGCUCUGGCCGACGAAGUCUUCUUUUCGAGCCAACUCUGCCUCUGUCCAUGCUGACACCGCUGCCUCUGGCUCCGGCUCAUCGCAGAGCGGCCGAGGGUUCCUUUAACUAAGCAAGAGAAGCCUCGGGCGGCAAGGCCGACCGAGCCGAGGGACUCCUACGCCUCCGGGAUACGGAUACCUCACUCGUCACCUUCGCACGAGGCAACUCACACUUGGUUAAGCGGUUCAGUUAGCCGACUGGCGAGUCCUAGUGCUCGAAAGGAGGAAAAACAUGGUAUUACACCAAAAAUACCCACAUGUUCAGGCCCCGACAGCCACAAUGAACAGACACCGGCACUCAAGGUGCCAUUACAAACGGAACUCCGGUUCCACCCCCGCAGGUACGAACAACCCCCCACAUUGGAGGGCCUGCGGGGCGACGAAACCCCAGGUGGCUCACCGCCGCCCGCUCCGGCAGCAGCGACAACGACCUCCGCUCCAGGUGGCCAAACAACAACAGCGAUGGCCUCAGGGCGGACGCUGCUGCAACAAGGCCCUCGCCCACGUCCCCACUCGAGGGGCGAGGACAAGCUAUCAAAGCCAAAGAGCCGGAGGCCUGGAGCGCGGAUGGUGGCGGUGAUCCCGUCGGCGAUGAGGAAUUCUUCAGCCGCCACCACCUCCGCGCCGACGACGGAAGCCAUCUGCCCACCGGCAGAUCCCCACUCGAAUCCUCCCGGACGGGCGAGCACCGACCUCCGCGUAGAGGCGCCGUACCGGAGCAAAGACAGGACAGCCCAAGAACACGAACGCCGCCCUAGCAGCGCGCGACAUCUUGGGCGGUCCUCCGGUGCGCGCGGUGCGACAACCGCUCUCGCGGCGGGAGGGGGCACCGGGAGCCGAGCCAGAGCCAGCUGAGCCAGCGAGCCCAACGCGCUGAAGCAGACGACGCUCGCCGCCGACCAGCCCCGCGUUGUCGAAGUCCGACCCUCCCGCUAGGCCGGUGAGCGCCCUCUCCCCUGAAUGCUGAGGGAGAAGGUGACCCACGAACCCGCGCGGGAGGUAGAGCUCCGGCUCAGUCCGGCCUCCGCCCCAGCCAGGAUGAUGAAGAUCCUUGAAGCUGAGGGCGAGGCAGAGGUCGCAGCCCGGCUUGCUUCUCCCCACCAUCAAACUGGUGGUCACCGUCUUGGGUGACCACCGGCGAGGGGAUGCAGCCGAGCUGCCUGAUGAAAAUCCUUAAAGCCGAACGAUGGCUGAAAGGUACCAACUUCCGCGAAGUUGCGUUCCCCCGACGACGACAAGACGAAGGCGACGCGAGUGCUCCCCAUCCGGGGGCUCGGAAGGUGGAAGGACGCGAUGCAUGAAGGGAGUGCGAAGACAUGGUUGCCAUCCAAGGGGGUCACCCUCCUUUUAAAGGCGACUCUCCCCACCUGCGUCCUCAGCCGGCGCGGACUGAGUCUUCUCCAACACGCUCCAAAGUCCUCCCCCUACGACACGGGGGCUGGGUCCCACGCGUCAUGCAAGCUGGCCCAGGACAGAAGAGGCUAAACCGCCGCGCGCGGAGCGCACAACAGCCCAGCGGUUACAAGCAUUCCUCCACUAUCGCCCGGACCAACGGGUGAAAGGGCGAACCGCCAUGCAGGCGGCAUGCAACCGCACCAAGGGAGCGCACCCUUUCGACUUCGACGCGUCCAGCAUGGAGGCCCAGGCCCACACGUCAUGUAACCGGCUCGCCAGUUACUACGUGCGAGAAACUGCACCGCCACUCGCGCCAGUACCGCACCUCCUCGACUGCGGAACCGGUGCUGCGACUCGAGGCGACCCUGCGCAUGACCCAACAGUGCCAACCGAGCACAUCGGUCACGGGUCAGUCAGCCGCGGGAGAAGGCGCGACGGUCGAUAUGGCCAGAAAUGGGCCGGUAGUAAUGGCGGUGGCAGGCGGGCGGAAGCAGCAGUCAAGUCGCCUGCAGACUCACGUCCCCUCCUGGGACAGCAAGAGAGCCCUGUCCCACGGAGUGAAGACGACGCGCCCGUGUUCCGUUCCUCGAACGGCUCGCGCACGCACAACGGCUGCCCCGCGAACCACUCGUCACAUCGCAUUAACUCUGCGGCAGGACAGGCGGCACCUUUGGCAGGCAAAGCAGACAACGCUUCACCUUCGCCAUGAUGACCGCGUCAAAAAAGGUGUGUCACGUCAUUCGAUUUCGCAUCCUUUUCCACUUCCUCUUUCUCUCUCUUGCUACAGGGACCGGUAAAGGGGAUACUCCGAAAGGGAUCCUUCUCCGCAAAGGAAGCGGGCCCCGAGCCCCCCUACUGAUCAGAGGUUCGAAGGCUGGCCCCUCGGAAGGGUUCAACAGCCGCCUCAGAGCACUCGGGCUCCGCGCCCACUACUGGUCAGAGGUUCGAAGGCUGACCCCUCAGAAGGGUUCAACGGCCGCCUCAGGCCACUCGGGCUCCGCGCCCACUACUGAUCAGGGGUUCGUAGGCUGGCCCCCGAAGGGUUCGACAGCCGCCUCAGAGCACGCAGAGCGAGGGAUGACCCUGGGUACGUUCGAUACAUAACCAAGGCUCGGGCUACGCUCCCGAGGUACCCUAGGACAUUUCCGAGACCGACGGGAACGAUUUUGUAACGGAAUCCCACCAGAGGGAGGCAUCGAGCCCUCGGACCCCGUCAAAAGUGGACCGGGUCCGGCGAAUCACCCGCAGGUACUUUUGGAGCGCGCCUCCGGGCCACUAGCCGACCCCUAACGAAUGGGGCACGGGCGUCCACUCGGAUUACCCGUUAGCAACUCGCUGGAGACACCAUGUUCGGCGCCCUCCGAGGGCAACAUGGUGCUUUCCCCCUCUCCUCCUUGCGGAAAGGCGACGCAGGGGCGUAUGAAAAAGCCGAGUUUGUCCUUGACCGUCCUCUCGCUCUGUGCGGGAGGCUCGGGGGCUGCUCUCGCAAACCCGGCUCCGGCCAAACCGUUGACAACGUCAACAUACCAGCCCGAGAACUUGGGACUCAACUAUGCACCCGAGCUACGGCUAGUUCGCAUGAGGGAAGAACCAGACCGACCGAAGCAUCACGAAACGCGCUAAGACCUCGAAGGAGUCAAACCACUCCUCCGAGGCCUCGGGGGCUACACCCGGCGGGUGCGCUCGCGCGCACCCACCGGAACGAAAUGCAACCGAGAAAGGCCGGUCCCCUUGCAAAAAAGUGCGACAAAAGCCUCCAAGCGAGUAUCAACACUCCCUUCGAGGCUCGGGGGCUACUGUUGGGGACCAUAAUUAGGGGUACCCCCAAGACUCCUAAUCUCAGCUGGUAACCCCCAUCAGCACAAAGCUGCAAAGGACUGAUCACUACGACAGCUACAGGCAUUUUCGGCGGCCAAGCCGCCGAAAAUGAGCCCUUUACCGCCGAAAAUAAGCUAUUUUCGGCGGCGUCUGGCCCCCAAAAAAAUCCGGCCGAAAAUAAGGCUUUAUUUUCGGCGGCCAGGACCUGGCCGCCGAAAAUAAACUGUUAUUUUCGGCGGCCACGUAGUCAGCCGCCGGAAAUUAAUACUGCCGAAAAUAAUAUACCUAUUUUCGGCGGCCAGGGAGGCCGCCGAAAAUUACUAAUUUCAGAGCAAAAAAAUUGAAAAAUGCGAAAAAUAACAGAAUUUCAUACAAAAUUCAUACAAUACCAGAAAUUUCAUACAAUAACAGAAAAUUCAUACUUGAGUUCACAACAUAAAACUUGAGUCCAUACAAAUAUAAAGUCCACAAAUAGUCCAUACAAACAUAAAAUCCACAAAUAGUUCAUUACAACACAGUGCGUCACAAAGCUAACUUAAUCACACAUUGGGGUCGUUGGAGUUGUGUCCACUACCUCCAGAAGCCAAGAACUGGUUGACGAAGUCGUGUAACGGGUUUGGAUCCUAAAGAAAAAAAAGACAUUAAUAACGACAUUGGUUACAUGUAUAACGACUAUUCAAACAAAUUGUUUCUCAAACUAACCUCUCCUGCAUAAGCUCCCUCCCCUGCAUAAGCUCCUCCUGGUGCUGGUAUGACCGGUGGUGGCGUGUUGUGGCCCAUGACCCCGGAUCCCUACAAAAUCAAGUUUAGUAAAGAUUUGAAAUUAGGUUGAUACAAACGACAAGUCUUAACUAAAUUGAAGCACCUGAGGUGGAGGUGGUGGAGCAUGUAAUCCCCACUGAGGCAUCGGCGGCUGAAACUGAGGGAAAACAAAUGGCUGCUGUUGUGCCUGCUGUGGAAACCAAGACUGUUGCAAAUAUAAUAUAUUAGUUAUAGAACCAAUAUCGAGCGUGUUGAGAAUAAAUAAGACACUCACGUUCAUUGCUUGUUGCGCCUGUGUGUUGUAAGCAGCCAUGUACUCUGAUUGCUGUUGGAGAAAUGCCAUUUGUUGUUGCCGCAGCUCUUCACGAAACUUUUCUUGCUGCUCCCUCAUAGCUUCCUCCAUGCUAGAUACAAAGCGGCGACUACGGCUGCUACUACCACAGCCCGCCUGCGACGAAGAGCCGCCACGAGAACGCAACUCCGUCGAAUCGAUAACACCGGUAAACAUAGAAUAUCUUGAAAAACAAGAAAAUUAGCUAUUCGGUCGUAGUUCCAACAUUAUUGAAAACAAUUCACAAGUUCAUACCGUCCAUGCGCCUUGCCUCCAAGUGAAUGCACAACUUCAUGCGCCUUGCCAUGAGCCGAGUCACAAAAGCGAGUAUACUCACAUCUGUGUGUUCAUGUAACGACUCUUCAGAGGCUUUUAGUAGUUUAAAAAAUCUGGAAACCUCUGGUGUGGCAGGAUCCUCGGAGCUUAGGUUGAAUUCUGGACGUAGCGAAUCUAGCAUCUCAUGCAUCGCAUCAUCGCCAGCCCAAUCAUUGUUCUCCUCCUCUUCUACAUUCCGGUUGGGUACUACCUCACCAUGAUGUUCCCACACCUCAUAUCCGGGCAUAAAUCCAAAUUGACAAAGAUCUAGGCUAACUCUUUCCUUAUUAAGAAAUAUACUAUUUUCGUGCCGCCUACAAGGGCAUCUGACAAUGCCGGUUAAGGACAAGGCGAAUACGUGGUCCACAAAAUCUUUGGUCUUGGCUACCCACUCAUCAGAAUGACGUCCAUUCCUACUCCAGCCAUUGUACAUCCAUGCACGGUCUUCAGCCAUGCCUGAGACUGUUAAACCGAACCAUAUCGUGAAACCAUUAUUCAAUUUCAUCAAGUGUAUCGGUCCUAUAUGUAUAGGCAAGGAUAGAUUCUAAACCACAGCAAGCUACCAGGACCCACAAUAAUUUUGGCAGCAUAACCUCGCUGCCACUAAACAAUAUAAGAAUGAACCACAUAUAACACAUAUAACACAUAUACCACAUAUGCCUUUACUAAACCAAAUAUACCACAUAUAAAAUAUGUCUCGAACUAAACAAUAAUACUAAUCACACGCACUAAUCAACAAACACAUAUACCACUAAUACAUUCCACAUAUACCACAUAUGCCUUCCCUAAACAUAUAACACAUAUACAAACGCACUAAUCAAUAAUAUUAAUCAAACGCACAAAUCAACAAACACAAUUACAAAAAUAUAUUAAUUUCGGUGGCAAUUAAAUAAAAGGCCGCCGAAAAUACAAAAUAAAAUACGCAAAAUAAAAUACCUUAAUGAAGGCGAGGUUGACGGGAGCCAAGGUCGAUGGAACGGGGCACAACGCGGCUGGUGGGGCGUCGAGCUUGGUGGCGGCACGUCGGCGGCACGGGCGAGCGGCGCUGCGGGUGCGUCGGGCGUGACGUGGUGGGCCGGGGGGGGGGCGCUGCGGGGGCGUGGGGCGGCGCAGCGGGCCGUGGGCUGCGCUGCGGGGGCGGCGCGACAGGCUGCACGACGGGGUGGCGUUGUUGGGCGGCGCUGCCGGGGCGGCGCGGCGAGGUGCGGCGUGGCGGGGGCGGCGCGGUUGGGCGGUGCUGCGGGGGCGGCGCGGCGGGGCGAGGUGCGGCGAGGCGAGGGGCGGCGCGAGCGACGGCGAGCGGCGGCGUGUUGAGAGAGAAGAGAGAAGAGAGAAGAAACAGAACAGAGAAGGAGCCGACAGUUUUUAAAAACCUAAUUUUCGGCGGCCAGGGAUCAGGCCGCCGAAAAUAGGCUUAUUUUCGGCGGCUGUGUCAGUGGCCGCCGAAAAUAGGCCUAUUUUCGGUGGCUGUGUCAGACCGCCGAAAAUAAGGUGGUAUUUUCGGCGGCCCACCUCCGGCCGCCGAAAAUAAGGUGGGCCGCCGAAAAUGUUGCAUAGUGUUGUUGUGGAUGGGCGCGAUUAAGGUCAAGGCUCAGUCCACUUAAGGGACACGAUCUCGCCUCGCCCGUGCCCAGCCUCGGGCAAAGGCAGCCGACCCCGGAGGAUUCACGUCUCGCCCGUGGGCCCCCUCAAGCAACGGACACACCUUCGGCUCGCCCGAGGCCCAGUCUUCGCAGAGAAGCAACCUUGGCCAGAUCUCCACGCCAACCGACCAUAUCGCAGGAGCAUUUAAUGCAAGGAUCACCCGAUACCUUAUCCUGACGCGCGCUCUUCAGUCGAUAGAGCCGAAGUGACCGCAGUCACUUCGCCGCUCCACUAACCGACCUGACAAGAAAACAGCGCCGCCUGCGUCACUCCGACUGCUGUGCCACUCGACAGAGUGAGGCUGACAGCAGCUAAGUCCAGCCUCGGGCGCCAUAGGAAGCUCCGCCUCGCCCGACCCCAGGGCUCGGGCUCAACCUCGACGAUGGACGACGAACUCCGCCUCGCCCGACCCCAGGGCUCGGACACGGCCUCGGCCUCGGAAGACGGUCUCCGCCUCGCCCGACCCCAGGGCUCGGGCUCAACCUCGAUGCUGGACGACGGACUCCGCCUCGCCCGACACAGGGCUCGGACUCAGCCUCAGCCUCGGAAGACGGUCUCCGCCUCGCCCGACCCAGGGCUCGGACUCAACCUCGACCUCGGAAGACGGACUCCGCCUCGCCCGACCCCAGGGCUCGGACUCAGCCUCGACCUCGGAAGACGGACACGACCUCGACCUCGGAGGAGCCGCCACCUCGCCCAAACUCGGGUCCGGACCGGCCACGUCGCCAGGGGGGCCAUCAUUACCCUACCCCUAGCUAGCUCAGGCUACGGGGAACAAGACCGGCGUCCCAUCUGGCUCGCCCCAGUAAACAAAUAAUGAUGGCGCUCCGCGUGCUCCAUGACGACGGCGGCUCUCAGCCCCUUACGGAAGCAAGGAGACGUCAGCAAGGAUUCGACAGCCCCGACAGCUGUCCUUCCGCAGGGCUCCAGCUCUCCUCCGACGGCCACGCCAUCACAUGAACAGGGUGCCAAAACCUCUCCGACUGCCACGACGGCAUGUACUUAGGGCUCUAGCUCCUCUCUGCUAGACACGUUAGCACACUGCUACACCCCCUAUUGUACACCUGGACUCUCUCCUUACGCCUAUAAAUGGAAGGUCCAGGGCUCUCGUAUGAGAAGGUUGGCCGCGCGGGAGAACGGGCCGGCGCAUAAGGCUCUCGCUCUCUCCCACGCGAACACUUGUAACCCCCUACUGCAAGCGCAUCCAUCCGCCCUGGGCGCAGGACAACACGAAGGCCGCGGGUUCCCCUUUACUGUUCUCCCCUUUUGUGUCCCGUCUCGCGCCGACCCAUCUGGGUUGGGACACGCAGCGACAAUUUUCUCGUCUGUCUAGGGAGCCCCGGGGUCGAAACGCCGACAGUAUGUAAAAGAUGGUGUUACAUCGGGUAUCUACAGAAUUUUUUCCGUUGUAGAUGGCUUUAAAGAGCUCUUCUGGUCGCGUCGUGUUCGAGAAGAAAUAAAACAUCAGGCAGUUGGAUACAGGUGUGGCACAUGCGUAAGCCUGAACACGGGACAGAAGCCCUCAGAAUCAGCUUAUAAUAAUAUAUAGAAAUCCAUUUCUAUUCCAAGCUUCAAAUAUAUAGCUCCACACUAAAGCAUCAUCAUGUACAUUGAGUCUAUGGCUGUAACAGCUAGCUAGUAAUAGUCACCGGCAAUUAGUACAGUAGCGAACAUAUAAGCACUGCUGCACGAGCUACAAGCGGUGGUGGGCGCAGGGGGCACUGCCGUCGUCGAAGUUCUGGUAGUAGCUAUGCAGGUCAUACCCGAACCUCACCGCGGUUCGCCUCGGCCGCGCUGCGCGUCUUCUCCAAGAGCGACUCAACCUCGACAGCAGCCGCUUCACCGCCGCAGCUGGCCGGCGGCCGCCGCUCCUGGCGUGGACGAGCCUCCCGCCCAAGCCGCUGCCCCCGGUGUACGGGCCUAGCAGAGACACCGCCGCCAUGAUCGUUCACUCAGUCGGUUCUCACAGGUCACGGACGCUCUUUGCCACUAACCAACUAGCUAGCUAGAUGCUCUGUCUGCUUCGAGCUGGAGUAGGUAGGUGAGGUCUAUCUGUGAAUCUGUGUGCUGCAGCUGUAGCUUCUGAAGAUACUGUGCAAAACGAAGCCUCCCAUGCGCAGCUUUAUAAGCUCGGAUGCUGGGAGCAUUCCGACACGCGUCGACCGAAGACGCCACUCGGACCCACCAGCAGCACGCACUCACGUACAUGGUGACGAGGCAAUCCACUACGGCGAUCGUUCGAAAGGUCCAAGCAGCUUCAUUUCAUGCAUGCUUUUGUAAGCCGCCGUCAUGCUCGUGCAGUCGAAAGAAUCAAAGAAAGACAACCGUCGACCACCAACAAUGGAAGCAUGUGUACUUGCUUUAGUGACG